rnacentral:lncRNA from 1 species
UAAAUCAGAUCAAAUGAUUUACUUGUGUGUUGGGUGUAUCCCAGAAGCCCACAUCAAAUGGAAAAUCACCCUCACCUCCCUGGAUUUGUUCAAUCAUACCAUCCAUGGGUCCCUUUUUCUGUGCUGCAGUUUCUUCUGUCCUGAGGCUUGCGAUAAGCAUCUCUCCAGAAGCCGAAAAGUCAGUUUCUUGAUCCAUUUGAGCAUGCUCAGCUAACAGGCUUUCCCACCAUAUGAUGUCAUCAUUCGGUUGUGGUGACGUGGAUCAGCUUACUGGAAGUACUUACUUGUGUGUCAAAAGUAUCCACAGCUGUAGUUUUUAGUUCAAACCUUGGCAAGGCUUUGGAGAACUUGUGAGGGUGAGGUUUUAUAGCUUUGGUUUUAGAAUGUGUUCCCUUUUUCUGUGUUGCAGUUUCUUCUGUCCAGAGGCUUGCGAUAAGCAUCUCUCCAGAAGCCGAAAAGUCAGUUUCUUGAUCCAUUUGAGCAUGCUCAGCUAACAGGCUUUCCCACCAUAUGAUGUCAUCAUUCGGUUGUGGUGACGUGGAUGAUGGCUUACUGGAAGUACUUACUUGUGUGUCAAAAGUAUCCACAGCUGUAGUUUUUAGUUCAAACCUUGGCAAGGCUUUGGAGAACUUGUGAGGGUGAGGCUUUAUAGCUUUGGUUUUAGAAUGUGUUUGGGGUUUUUUUCUCCCUUCUUCCUGGAACUGAACCUUCUUUUUCAGGUGGUGACCAUGCCAAUAGUUCUUGACAUCAUUAGCAGUCCUCCCUGGAAGCCUACCCGCAAUCAAGGACCAUCUAUACACGCACAACAUCAGACAAAGUAUCAACUGAACAGCUCUUUUGUAAGUUCUGAACAGCUUCAGAACUAAUAUAAUAUCAUUAUCAAGCUAGUACUUGAGUUAUUAUAGACUUGCCUGUUCCCCAACAAAUUGUGAAGCCUAAUCAUGAGAUCAACCUCGUCUAAUGCAAACUCUCCUCUCUUGAUAUCUGGCUUCAAAUAAUUGAGCCAUCUCAAUCUGCAGCUCUUUAGGCAUCUAUUCAACCCUGCAAACUCAAGAAAACGAAACUCUUUAAGCAAAACAGAAGUAAAAAAAACACAAAUUAAUACUGAUCCCUUUCUCUUUCAUGUCACCUGCUCGGAGGGGAACCAGAUGCCACUUUCCUUCUCCAUAUUUCUCAAUGCAUUUCCUCAGGAGAACAUCCUCUUCUUGGGUCCAUGCACCCUUUCUAACUCCUAAGCUCUUCAUCGAGUCAACUCAACACAAGAGACCGGCUCCUUCUCUAAUUAUUGAUUGAUAUAUAACAACCUCGAACCUGUUCUAUCUCAUGACUCGGACACCAGACCCCUAAUUGGUUGAUUCGACACGUUUCUUAUGGUGCAUUACCUGGCUUCCGAAUGCGAUGGACAUCAUGGACAAAGGGUGUGUGUCAUAAGAGAUAUUUACCCAUUAUGUAUCAACUUACUAUAAAUGUACAGCGAAAUUUAGGAAUUAAUUGCUGACUAGUAUCCUUUAUGAACAAUCUCUAUUUUGUGGUGCAAAUGUAUAAACUGGUGUGAUCCCGAAGACAACCACGUGCUACCAUAUUUUAAUGUCCAGAGGAAUUCAUUUGGACAUUGGUAGGAUGAAUGGGACAUUACGUAGAAGAUUUGGAUUCUGAUACCACUGUUUCCUUGACAAAAAGCAACCAAGUGAUGGGAACCUUUGAGGGCCACCGCUCCUCUUUCAACUUUAACAUUUUCUUUUGUCGACUAACCCAUGUUCACUGAAAAGGGAAGCUCCAUGGGUCCUCUACCAUUAUAUUAUGGCCGCUAUGCAGUGGCAGCAGCUAAUUCAUGGGAAUUGUCAGCGAAGAAAGGUACAAUCAUUAGGAUAUGCCUCUGGCUCGCGGAGGACUUUGUUUCUGACCAGUAACGUCGAUAAAAAUACAUUUUAGAACUUUUUCUAUUGUCAAUUCAAUGACCGGGUUCAUUCUCAACCAUCCAUCUGUUGCUUGGGACGUGUGUCAUUUCCUACAAUGUACUCUCCUCACUGACAAUUAUUUUCCCUCAAAUAUAUACAAGUAUAAAAAUUUGCAUAUAAAUUAAAAUUGUUUUAAAAUUUGAAAAAUGAUGGAAAUUGAUAAAAGUAUAAAAAUUUCACCUGAACCUUUGAAAUUUUUUGAUAAAAUAAGUAAUGUGUAGAUAUUAAAUUAUUAUAUUUUAAAAAAAUUAAUAAAAUAACAAAUAUGAGUUUUCAAGUGAAUAUUUUGAUUAGUAGUGUUAAGAAAAAAAAUUUGUUAUUGUUAAUAAAAAUAGAAGAAAGUUAUGAUUUUGCACACCAGUAAUUCCUUAAUUCUGCAUGCAUCAUUUUCUCCAAAGACCUUUUGACAUUAAAGAAGGAAAAAAGAAAAAGAAAAAAAAAGAGCUUAAUAUAGAGGCAGCAAUAAGAUAUCUUAUUGAAGAAGACGUUUUUAGACUUAUGUGGGAACAUUAUAGGCUUUAAUGAAAUUUUUAUAAUAUCAUUUUUAUCUUCUUUUUUUCUUAAUUAAAAAAAGUUGUUAUUCCAAAUAUAUCAUUUUCUAAACCUAAACUAUUUAAUCGGCGUGUAUUAUUGGUUUAAUGCGAAUUAAAAACCAAAGUUCCUUCAUUUUUUAUUGCUUUAAUGUGGAAUGUAAAAAAAUUAAUUGGUUAAAAGAGAUUCAAUACUCCUCGUAUUUGUGAAUUUAUCGCUUCCUUCUUUUUACUUGAAAAAUAACAUAUUUUUUAUUAUAUAAAUGUCACUUAUCAUCUCAAGUAUUUAUACAUAAUUUUAAGAGAAAUGAUUAUUUUUAUAAGAAAAAAGUGAGGAUAUUUAUACCAAAACGAAGCCAAAAAAGAAUGGAGGGUUAAACCCUAUUUGGUAACUAUUUUUUAAAACCGUUCUAAAAAAUAGUUUUUGAAAAUUAUUUUAUAAUUUUUUAUAAAAUAAAAGUCGGUUUGAAAACCUAAAAUAUUUUUAACAUAUUUUAAUAUUUUUAAAAAUAACAUUUUAUAUCCAAUGUUUUAUUUUUAAAUUAUAUUAUAUGUUUGUAUAAUUAUUUUUUAAAAUAAUUUUUUAAAAAUAAAUAAAAAUAAUAUAAAACAAUUAAAAUAUGUUAUAUAAAAAGACUUUAUUAUAUAUUCUUAGAAACAUAAAACAAAAAAAAAAAAUUCUAGUUGUAAGACUGUAGACCCCUUUUGUGGUGAGGGCCCGGAGAGUUGUUAUUUCUUUCCUUUUCAUUAUAUCCUUGGAAGGGGGGACCUCCCUGAAAGCAGCUGCAUGGUUUGUGGUGAGGCCCCGUGAGAGUUGUUAUUUCUUUCCUUUUCAUUAUAUCCUUGGAAGGGGGGACCUCCCUGAAAGCAGCUGCAUGGACGUGUAGCAAGAGAGGAUGGUUGGCCAUGGUGGUGGGUGAAUAUGACGGAUUGGCGGAAUGGUGCACAGUGGAGCGGGUGAUGGCUUGCUGCAGAAGACAGGAACAGGGGGGAGGAGAUAUUUAGCUGAAAUUUUCCUUUGGCUUGACGGGGGGGAAGACCUUUUUUUCGUGAGGCUUUUGAGAAGAAAACCAGAGGUGUGCUGAGAAGGAGGGGCCUCAACAAGGAGAAACCGGAGGAAGGGGAGAGCUUUCCAGGGACCGUGAGAAAGAAGCAGGGGAGGAAUCGCUCAGGUUUGAUCAUACCUUACCUUGUGUUCUUCACCUUUCUUUUAUCUCAUUUUAUUUUGAUGGUCACACUAAUGCUUCUAGUUGAUGUUUGGAUGCUUGCUCUGAUCAUUUAAUGUGUUAAAUCUGCUUCUUGUUUUCGUUUGCUGGGUCUCUGUCUUCCCUUGUAUGAGCUGUGUGAUUAUUAUGCUGUUUGUCUAUGUGAUAAGACCAUUCGGACCCUCUCACCAGCUUCUUUUGAAAGCUCCUUAAUUUUCAUCAAAAUGGGGCUUGGAUUUAACGGCAUCAUCUUCUCUUCUAUAUACUCUGUUUUUUUUUUUUUAUCACUAUCAUCCCUGUUUCUGGCAUUUUGGAGUGUUGAACAUCAUGUCGAAUCUGGCGAAAUCAGACCGUCUUCGCUUCACACCGUUUAUGAUCUCAGCCAUGAGGAGUGUUGCUAACAUUCAGGUAUGAAAGAGAGUGAUGUAAGGAGUGGCCAUGGGCGACGUUAUGAAGCCAAGAAAUAAUCCUGAGCUAGCCAAUUUUAAAACAGUCCUAACUCUGGGACGGUUGGGUAUGUAUAUGGUAUGGCGUUCUUCAUUAUUGAUCUACUAGCCUAGGCAAUUUAGAUUAUGGCCAAGUGUUCUGAUAGAGAUGGAGAAGCUAUAAGGCUGCCAGAGGACCAAUUCCAAAAGAUGGAAAAUCAUGCUCUGAACGAAGAGCCGCUGUAUGCUUUUAGAUUGAGUUGUGGAGCUGCAGAUACAUAAACAGAGGGCUGCGGAGGAAUUAUCAUCAUGUAAGAAGCUUCCCGACUUGCCUCAGAAUCAAUCAUCAAGCAAAGCCCUGCCAAAUUUAGAGAGAGUGGAAUCACUUGUACAGGUGAACCUUUCCAACAAUCAUUUGCAUGGCAGUUUACCUUCCACCAGAGCAUUCUUCGCCAUCAAUUCGAGCUUAGUCUCAGGAAACAAUCCUUGUGGUGGGGACACUGCAAGUGAGCCACCACCAUGCAAGAGGUUAAAAAUCCCAGUUGGAGGGUUCUUCGUCACUUGUCUCCUAGUUGUUUCGGUGGUGCUCACUCUUGCUGUUUUUGCCGCUGUGUUCAUCCUACACCGAGAUGGGUCAGAGCUCAAGAGGGUAGAACAUGAAGAUGGGAUGUGGGAAAUGCAGUCCUUUGAUUCCAAAGUCUCAAAAUCGAUCACAAUCCAAAGCAUACUGCCGUUUAUAAUAGAAAAUAAUGUGAUUUCAUACAAGGAAAAGAUUAAAAUGGUGAGACGGCCUCCCUUACAGCUUUGAUGAAUCGACUUGUUAUUCAUCUAAAAAAGGCUCAUGGAUCAGAAUCCUAUGAGACCAUCUAUAGUGUAUCUUCUGAAAUUGUCAUAAGAGGUCCAGGCCCACUUUUGCAUGGUGCGCCUCCCAAAUACCCCACUUACCCAUCUUUUUGUUCCCGCCACCUUUCCUUUCUCUAUCACCACAUGCAUCUCUCAAGCCCACCAUGCCCAUAUUUCACACCCACUGAACCCAUGUUUCUCUCAUCACCCCUCAUCCGAUCCCACACGAGCUCACCACCUUCAUGUGUUCAUUCCUCACUCAUACAUGUAUGGAACCAUGCAUCCAUGGCUGCCCAUCAUUCCCACUCCCGUCUCGUGCCAACUGCCCAAGCCAUUCCACUUCAUCACCUUUCCACCCCCCAUGCUUGCCACAUUCAUUUCUUCCAACACCCUUUAAACUCACUCCAUCCGCCACCCAUUUAACCCCAUUGCAAACAUGGCCACCUCAUACCCAUUUCUCUUACUCAUAAUUCCAUUCAACACUUCCCAACUCACCCCGUUUCCCCGCCAUCUCUCAAUAUUCCUUAACCCAUUUAUCUCAUUAUCCCCUCCACCAUGUAACCCACUGUCUUCAUGCCCCGCUAAUCCCAUACCCGUCACCACUUUCUCUCUCUCUCUAAAUCUUCAUCCAUACCCAUUUCUCUCACUCACUACCUUUCCGUUCUUUCCAAACCCACAAAACCAUCUCAUCCCGCCACCUUCCAUCCUCCGUUCCGCCAAUAACCACCCGAAGACUAAGAAGAUUCUACAGUUCCAGCGCUCGAGACAAAUAAUUACUGGCGUCUUUUCCGAAAGAGAACAAGACAAUAAUGAGUAUGCUGCACGGGUUGAUCCCUAUGUGACAUGCGGGUAUCCUAUUUUAAGGGGUGUCUAGGAAUUGAUUUGCAAGCCAGGAUACAUAUCCGCCACAGCGAAGUGCCUGGCUUACGUCAUUUGCAUCACAAGACAAUCAUGAGAUGCGAGUAUCGUUUGCAUUGGAGUGAAGUGUACUCUCCAUAAUUGGUGCUCUUGGAAGUAUACCUACGAGAUGAAGCAGAUAUAUUAUCUGUUUUAUUUGUGUUAAAGUAUAUUAUAUUAUGGGCUAUAGGCCCAAUUAGGUUAUUUGUAUAGUACUUGUACUAUACACUUGUAUCGCACAGUAUUUGUACUGCACACUUGUACCGCACCCUUGUACUGCACCCUUGUACUAUACACAUAUGCCUCCUAUAUAAAGACACUGAUGUAUAUUCUUUUAAUCACAUAAUAGAAUACAAUUAUUCUAUAUUUCUAACAUGGUAUCAGAGCCACUGUUCUGAACUUUUUUUUUUUUCUUAGCAGUCUUGUUUUCAUUAGUGUGACUUCCUUCUUUCACUAAGUCAUCCCGUCGUCGUCCUUGGGUUCCGGACCUGCAGCUGCCAUCGUUAAGAAGUUUCACACUGCACAGACCACUGCCCUUUGCAUCACCGCUGCGAAUAUUGCUCCGAUUUCAUUUUUGAAGGUACCAUUGAGAUCGUCCAGCGCCGAUCUACACAGUACUUGUACUGCACACUUGUACCGCACCCUUGUACUACACCCUUGUACUACACACAUAUGCCUCCUAUAUAAAGGCAUUGAUGUAUAUUCUUUUAAUCAUAUAAUAGAAUAUAAUUAUUCUAUAUUUCUAACAAUUUGAUAAUGGAUAAAAUCAUGGUGACUUUGUGGUCUACUCCAUCGAGAAGUCCUCUCAAGAGAUAGGGUCGUCUUAUGAAGGCACGUCGGAUUUUGACGGUGUAAGAGUUGCUGCAUGGAUAGUGCUGUCCAUCUCAAUUCCACUUUCAGAAGCUCGGAAGGUUUGCGGCAUGCUAUCUAGAAUUCUUCAUCGCUCUUGUCGUGGGAUUGAUUGGCUUCAAAGAGAUUGAAUUCUUCCUCUUGAGUUAGACAGGUUGCUCAGGCAGGAGGCUAUCUUGUCUGCUCCCCUCUUGGAGCCUAUACACAGGAUGAGGACGACCUUAGAAUACAGAGGGAAAUGGUUGUCCUUGCGGAAUGCAUAUGUUGGAGAAUAGCUGUAAAAAAGGAAUCAAACCGUCAUUUGGCAGAAACCUCUGACCAAUGGUUGUCACAAGGAGCGAACGCCUGUUACUCGGCCUCCAGCAUGGAUGAUGCGCUAAGCUGGAAGGUACAUGGCUGUUUACAAAAAACUUGCAGAGAAAUACCCCCUCCUUCAGACAGAGAGGAGGUGAGAGGCCCUGUUAUCCAUUCUCCAAUUCGCUCCGAGGAAGGAGGUGGGGGGACAAGCUGCUGUUCCGGGUUUUGUGGGAGUACCUUGAACAAUGGGGACAUGUAUAGUGGAAGGCGGUACAACUCGGGCACAUACGAUCAUAAAAAGCGUGUGUCAUACAACACCAAAUGUAUUGAGGGCUUUUCUUUCUCAUUUGACGCUUGUAAUAUCUGAAUACAUUGUUUUCUAAGUUGAAUCUGGGGCCCACUGUAUUCAAAUAUUUGACUCUUGGGGUGGUCAACUACCGCCUGAUAUGGGGGAGUGCUGGUCAAAACCCUAUAUUGGAAGAGUUGAGGUAGAAGAAGAUGGUGAUAUCGGCAUCAGAGCUACGAAGGAGGGUUUAGGGCUCCAAGCAGCUGGAUCGGAUAGCUUCAGGGCUGACUUAUGCUGGAAUGGGAUGCAGGGGUCCACAAGGAAAGAGAUAUUUUAUACCAUCUGGACCCACAACAGUCAUUGGUAUUCCAUAUUCGACCACCAUUGCACAAGACCCCUUGCAUGGCCACCUUUUGAUAGGCCAUCAUCAAAACCCGUGGCUCCCCUCCUUUUAUUUUCAUGCAAACCUCCAGAACCUGAUUUUCGAGGAUCAUCGUUUUUUUUUACGUGAUUUUAAUUCUUCACUUUUUUUCUCUUUUUCUUGAUUCUAGGUACCAUUUUCAACUAGACUUGCCUAUUUUCGUUCAGUUUAUUUAUUUAUUCAUUUAUUGCUAUUAUUAUUAUUAUUAUUAUUUUCAUUUUUUGUUUUCAUCCUUGUUUUUAUUUUUAUUUCCUAUCCUUGACUUUAGAUAUUUUCCAUUCUUUAAUAAAUUUGGUAGCCACAUUCCUUCUCGACCAAUAUCUUUCAUAAAUCCUCUUUUAUUUUUAAUGAUUUUCUAAUUUUCACGUUUAAUAAGCCAAGAUUUAAUUUUGUGAUUCCAAUUAAUGGAAUUUACGAAAUUAAUUCAUUGCUAAAAUAAAUUAGGUUUUGAUGGGAGCCUCACAUGUGAUUUUAUAAUUGAUUGAUCGUUUGAUUGAUUUGAUUGUUAUGCAUGAUCGAUCUAUUAUGUUCUAAGACAUGCAUGAUAUUGUUCCUUAAUUGUGUACUAACCCUCUCUCUUAAUAGCGCAUGGUAACUCAUUGUCCAGUUACGUACCCACUUUCACUCUGAUCAGUGUCUACGCAUUUUCUGGUUCUCACAUGUGCAUGUUUUAUUCUAAGUAUUCAUUGAUUCACUCAUCCAUUAUCAUGAUUACUUCAUCUCAUUAGUAGAGACCCGGUUUUAAGGAUUUAGAGGGGUGUUACGGUCUUUACCGUACCUUCCCAAUAAGUAACCUGACCUCCGAGCCUGACCUGAUUUUUCACAGACUACCUUUUCCAAAAUAAAGAGUCACACUUAGGGUCUUCUUUUUUAUUUUGUUUACCCUUUUAAAAAUAAAACAAAAAUAAGUGGCGACUCCAAGUCAUUUUCCAAUAAACAAAGUCAUUUUUAAAAUAAGAAUUGAGUUCGCCAUCGAGUAAAAAACGUAUGAGCCGAAACAUGGGGUCCACACAAAUAUAUUUUCGUGUUUUUUUAUUUUAAAUAAUAAAAAGUUAUUCUAAAAAACCAUGCUAAGCAAAUUCUUAAAUUUCCGAAAAAACAAAAAACAUAUAAGGUUACCAAGAAAAUUUUUUAUGAGACUUCUAAGUUUUCAAUGAAGAACCAGAUUGAGACUUCAAUUAAAAAAUAGAAUCUUAAUUGACAAUUAUAACUUUAAUUUAAAAACGAAGUAUCAAUUGAUAAUUAUGACUUCAAUUCAAAAACCGAAGUCUUAAUUAAUAAAUAUACCUUUAGUUCAAAAAUAAAGUCUCAACUGUAAUUGUAAUGAGAUCUUAACUAUAUGUUUUAAAAAAUAUAUAUUUUUGAGAUGCUCGUAUGCGGCACUUAAGAGACCAACAUAAAUUUUAUAAAGUAGUUAGAUAUGGGACAUUUUGGCCCAAAACUCCAGCAAGUAGCACCUCUGUUUUGUGCUGGGUACUGGACCAGACGACAGUGGUCAAAGCUGACUGUGACCUGGGCCCACAGGCUAAUUUUAAGCUGCACUCGUGACCAGCGCUUCCAGCGUGCUGGGUCAGACGAGGCAGCGGUGGUGAAAGUGGGCUGUGAGCUGGGCCCACAAACCAAUUUUGUGAAAAUCCAGAAGGUGAAAAUCGGUGACGUGGCACCGACAUGUUCCAAACCGUCGACGUUUUCAUCACUGAAUUUUCCAGCACUUCAGCCAUAAUUUCCAAGUACAUGUACAAGUUUUUAGGUAAAUUAAUUGUCGAACAUAUGAGAGUAUAAGUUUUGGAGCAAAUGAGUUGUACAACAUGUCAGAGCCUCAGUGGAAGGGAAGAGGGUUUAUAUAUUCAAAUAUUACUUAUAUUUAUUUUCUUAAUUUAUUAAACUUAAAAAUAAGAUAUUAUUUAAAAUUUUCUAAUGAAUUUUUUAUUUAUUAUUUAAUUACUUAAAUUAAUUUUUAUUUAUUUUUUUAAAUUAUAGAAUUAAAACUUUUUAUUUAAAUAUUGUUUAAUAAAUUUAAAAUUUAUUUUAAAUUAUCAAAUUUAUGGUUAAACAUAAAUAUUUAAAGUAUUAUAAAUACAUAAAAUAUAAUAGAUUUAUUAGAAAAAAAAUAAAUUAUUGAUGUGAAAUCAUGAUUAUAAAAUAUGCUAUUAUGUAGCAAAUAAGAUAAAAAAAAGAUUUGAAAUUAAGGAAAAAAAACUAUUUUGCCUUAAUAUUUGAAGUUAAAAAAAAAAAAAAACUGUAAUAUUGUUAUUUAAUUACUGAUAUGUGUUUGAAUGCCUAUCUCCUUAAUUUAUUAAGCUUAAAAGAAGUUAUUUGUUUUCUCUGUAAUCUCAAAAGAGACUACAAAAGAGUAUUAAAGUACUUGAUAUAAAUGAUAACUCAAGUCCUAUGAGCUUAAGUAUUCAGAUUAUAUUAAGGUGGUGUUUAUUUUUUUACUUAAUUCUAAAUAGAAAUUUAAUGCUUAAUAGUGUUAAAUAUUAGAUUGUUUAUUUUUAUAGUAUUUUAUUUCUAUUAAGUAUUAAAAAAUAAAAAAAAAUUAAUAUAUUAUUUUUUCUAUUUAAAAAAAAUUAAAUAUUUUGAUUUUUUCUAUUCAAUAAAAAAUUUAUAAUAAGUUAUAAAAAAAUAGAAAAAUAAAUAACCUAAAUUGUGAAAACAAUUUCCUUUCAAUAAUAAACAAAAGGGUAUUAGAGUACGCUAGCUAUCUAGAUAAUAAACUCAAGUCCUACGAGCUUAAAUAUUUAGGUUAUGCCUCAUCGUUGAAUUUUAUCUCAGAAUUUCCCAUGAUUCUUGCAAUAUAACCUGAAUAGUGCAGGUGUGAAGACAUGUAUGGCCCGGUAACUUUUGCUAUUUGUAGUCCUUAAUUAUAUAAUCAGAAUAAAAAUGCGUUAAAUUAAUCAAAUAUUAACUAGGGAGUAUGACAUUACACAAAAGUACGUGGGGAGGGAAGUAACUUGAUAUAAAACUGAUGAAAUCUCAGAUGCUCAUUUAUAUCAUGGCUUCUCCAAUGAGGCCCAUUUCAAAAGGAAAAUCAAAAUUCCCACCUCCAUUGGUAUCUACAGCUGAUGCAGUUUCGUCAGCCAGGAGGCUGGCAAUAAGCUCCUGAUCUUCAAUGGUAUGGUCAGCGAAUAGGCUUUCCCACCAUAAAAUAUCCUGGUUUGGUUGGACCAGUGUGGGUUGCAGCUCACUACAAGUACUGCCUUGUGUCUCAGAAGCAUCCACAGCUGUAGUUUUGAAUGUGAACCCUAGAAAGAGUUUGCAAGGCUUAGGCUUUAUCAGAGUGUUUUCAGAAUUGGUUUGGGCUUUAUCUUUCCCUUUUUCCUGGAUGGGAACCAUCUUCUUGAAGCGAUGAUGGUGCCAGUAAUUCUUGACAUCAUUCGCAGUCCUCCCUGGAAGUCUGCCGGCAAUCAAGGACCAUCUGGAAAAACAUAGCUACAAUUUUUUUAAAAGUGUUGAAUUAAAAUGAUCUUAUUUGAGUUUCUAAUUCAUGGAGGCGUUGUUUCUUUAACCAUCAGCUCCAGAAUUUGGUUUGGGUUAAGGAUCAGACAAGGAAAAAAAUUAAGGGAAGGUAGGUACAAUUCUUUUUUCUUUGCAAGUGAAAAAGCUUAAUUGAUUAAGCUUCUUUUCUUAUUUUACUUCAAUUUUUUUCUUUCAUUUUCCUCGUAUUUUCUCAGGAUUCAAUCCAAACUUGUAUCUCUAUUACCAAUCUAACAGUGGCUAUACUAAAUGUAAUAGGAAAUUAAUAAAUAAACUUGCCUGUUUCCCAACAGCUUAUGAAGUCUAAUCAUGAGAUCGACUUCAUCUGAUGCAAAUUUUCCUCUCUUAAUAUUUGGCUUUAAAUAGUUGAACCAUCUCAAUCUACAGCUUUUGCGGCAUCUACUCAAACCUGAAAAGGCAACUCUUCCAGUUAGGAAUAUUUAUUUAAGCAGGAAAAAAGUUUGCAGGCUUCCUCUCAUACGUAUAUAUUACCUGCUCGGAGUGGAACCAAAUGCCAUUUUUCUUCUCCAUAUUUCUCAACACAUUUUCUUAAAAGAAAAUCUUCUUCCCGAGUCCAUUUUCCCUUUCUAACUCCCAAACUCUCCAUAGCUUUUCCUCAACUCUACGUAGAACAUAUGCAACUUGUCCGAUUAAUUUAAACACUUGGUAUGUACUUCUUAUGAUUUGCGUGCUUUCAUUCCAACCACAGAACUCCAAGUAGUACUGAUUCUUAAUUAAGUGACAUGAGCUGGUUGGUAGCCUUAGUAACAACAGUGUAACAGCCACUUCAGUUUAAACGUGCAGUCAUUCUUAAGCCACAUAAGCCUUAGUAACAAUUCAAGCGUGUAAUUAUAUAUAUAUACACACAACUUGGGAUGUACUUCAUAUGACUUACGAUGCUUGUAUUCCAACCACAGGUCCCUAAGUACGGAUUCUUAAGUGACCCAAUGUUUUUUUUUUAUUCAUUUGAUGUGGAAUACAAAAGAAUUAAUUGAUUAAAAGAAAUUAAAUAAUCAUUAUAUUUAUAAAUUUAAUCAUUCCUUGAUUUUACUUGAAAAAUAAUAUAUUAUUGACAUAAAUGUCACUUAUCAUUUCAAGUAUUUAUAUAUAGUUUUAAAUGAAAUAAUUGUUUUUACAAGAAAAAAAAAAGAUACUUUUAUAAAAUGAAAAAAAAUUAAGGUUAAAUUUAUAAAUUUGAGUUUUUAAUGACCCUUCUAAUCAAAUACUCUAAUACAAAGUCAUCUGUUAUCAUUUCCUCUCUACAACUUCAGGUUUGUGCAUCCUGACUUUGUAGUCUCGAAUAUAGGCAUUAGAUAUCUUAUUUCUAGUCUUAGAUUUAGGUAUAAGGUUGGAAUUAUGAUAAGUGUUAAGUUUCUGGGAUUUGUUAAGGAGAUUUGCACAAUAUUUGUAGAGUUAUUAUUAUUAUUAUUAUUAUUAUUAUCUUGGUUUUUGUUUGCUUGAAUUAUUUGAUUGAUUGGUCAUACCUAGCUUUCUAGCAAGUUUGUUUCUAGUACGGUCGUUUUACCACUCUAGAGACAUGCGGGCAAGACAUAAAAGUUCUAGAUAUUCUUCGAAAUCUGUAUUGCAAUAUCAGGUUGAACAUUAAACAAAGAGAUAGUCACUGCAAUAGUAAGUGUGUGCUGACCAACGUUUUAAAAAUCCAAUCGGACCAGCUGGUCCGAUCGGUCUGACCGUUGAUCGGUCAUCAGUCCAGUUCGAUUCACCCCUUUGAACCGGCCAACCUCUGAACUGUCAUCGAACCGACGGACAGAUUGGUCCGACCAAUUUUUAUUGAACCGAACAAUUCAAAUGAAUUUUUUCCUUGGCUUCCAAAAUGAUGUCUUCCCUUUCUUCUUCGUUCUUCCAGAACGUUCUCCCCCGCCCACAGUUGACCGUGACUCAGUUGACCGUGACUCAAAAUACAUUCCAACAACUGAUGAAGAUGAGGAAGUAGAGUAUGAAUGCAAGAACAACAUUUGAACUUAACCCCAAAGAUUGAAAUUGUCUAAAUCAGAUCAAAUGAUUUACUUGUGUUGGGUGUAUCCCAAAAGCCCACAUCAAAUGGAAAAUCACCCUCACCUCCCUGGACUUGUUCCACCAUGCCAUCCAUGGUUCCCUUUGUCUCUGUUGCAGUUUGUUCGGCCCAGAGGCUUGAGAUACGCUCCCCUCCAGAGCUACAAAUCGAAAAGUCAGUUUCUUGAUCCAUUUGGGCAUGCCCAGAUAACAGGCUUUCCCACCAUGCAAUAUCAUCAUUUGGCUGUGGUAACUUGGAUGAUGGCUUACUAGAUGUACUUGUUAUUUCCACAUUAAAAUUAAGUGGGUGGCCCACUAACCUAGUAUUUAGCCGAUUAAAAGAAUACCUAAAAUAUUUAAACUGUUAUAAAGAUAUUUACCCUUUGAUGGAGUGGGUAAAUUAUUAUAAUAAUAAUAUUAUUAUUUGGAAUAAAAAACAGUUAUUCGAUCGAAUAACACGUUCAUAAUGGUUUUUGAACGUGUAUUCUUGACCCUCUUCUCUUAUCAAUAAGAUAUAUAUACAGAAACCCCUUCAUGUGCGGUGAGUGCUCUCUUCCAUCAAUUACAGAAAACAAUUCUGUGUAUUAAAGUUUGAUAAGGAGAAGAAGAGAUCAAGGAUUUAAGAUCUAUAAACUGAAGGGAAAUCUCUCAUAGCUGCGUGUUCUUCAAACGGUAUGUAAUCUAUUUUAAUUAAUGUUUUUAUUAUUUUAUUUUUCAGAGAUGAGUUUGAAUUCAAUGAUCUGGAAUAUUGUGUGUUAAUUUCUGUGUUAAAUGUCAACAAUUGGUAUCAGAGCAAGGUUGAAUUCAAAUAUUCAGAAUCAUUGUUUUAUAAAGAUUAAAUUUUGAGAUUUAUCAUCGAUUAAUUCGUCUCACUAAAAUGAAUAAAAAAAAUAAUAAUUAAACAAAAUAAAGACCAGCCUCAAUGCGUAGAAGGAAGAUUUUUAUUUUUCCUUGCAACGCCGAUUGGAGCAAUGCCGGUGAGGGGCGCUGGUUUGGCCGACUGGUUUGGCGUUAGUCCGGUGGCCGGUUUCAGGCGCCAGUCAAGGCGCCAUUGCCUGCGCCAUUGAAGGUGCCAUCUCACUGUUUUCAGGCGCCAAUCCAGGCGCCAUUGAAGGCGCCAUCUCGACGUUUUCACGCGCCAGUCUAGAUGCCAUUGCCGGCGCCAUUGAAGGUGUCGUUUCUCCAGCUUUCCGACGGCAGUGAAGGCGCCGUUUUCAGGCGCCAUCUCCAGGCAUCAGGCGCCGUUUCUCAGGCGCCAUUAGAGGCGCUGGUUGCAGGCGCCGUUUCUCAGGCACCAUUAGAGGCGCUAUUUGCAGGUGUCGUUUCCUUCUUCAAGGGCCAUUGGAGGCGCCGUUUGCAGCGCCGUUUCAGGCGCUCUUCAGGCGCCACUUUUCAGGCUCUCCAAAAGUGCCAUUUCAGGCGCUAAUCCAAAGAUCUUAAUUGAUUUAUUAUUUGAUUUGAGUCUGAACCUUUGUGAAAUUAUUAUUAUGUCUGAGGAAUGCAAGUAUUAGCUUUAGUAUAUUCAAUGAAUGCAGAUUUCUUUGAUUUUAUUAUGAUUGAUUAUUGAAUCAGAUGGUUAUUAAACAUACUAUUUCCUUGAUUUUUUAACUCAAAUAAAAGAAUUAAUUUCAUCUUGUGAAUAUUUUAUCUAAAGACAAUUUAUAAAUGUAAGGUUAACUAGUUUAGAUUAUUGCCAAAGCAACCUAAAUUAGUGAGCCUUGUAUUUAUUGAAUUGCAUAAAAGAAUAAAGGGAGACUUGUAAAAUUCUUAAUAAUUCUCUUUAUAAUUAGGAGAAUGAGACUAACCCAAAGGAGAGUCAAUUUCUGCUAAUUAUUAAUUAAUGUUUUAUUUUGUGUUGCUUAGAAAGGUAAAAUGGAUACCCAAAGGUAACAUAUAAAUGACACAAAAUAGUAAAGUAUUUUAAGCUCCCUCCAAGUGAACACUGGAUAUGUUAAAAUUUACCCAAAGGAGAAUUUUAAUGAUAUCAAUAGUUCAUUGCUAUUUAUUUUAUACUUGAGGCCUUAUUGUGAGCAUUGUUCUAUUUUGUACAGUUCCCACUUCAUUACACUCUCUUGCAUCUGGAAUGGCUGUUUUUGAUGGGUCGAACUUUUCUGAAUGGUAUGAAACAAUUCUCACUGGGCGUAUUGGAUCUUGACCUGGCUUUAAUAACGGAUAAACCUCCUGAAGCUACGGAUGACAGUACUCCGGAGCAGGUGGAACAAUUAAAAGCCUGGGCAAGAUCCAACAUACUCAGUUUUAUGUUUAUGAGAAUGAUUAUUGCCAAUAAUAUCAAGACCUCUCUCCCUCAAACCGAGUUUGCCUCGGAAUUUCUGAAAUCUGUUGAAGAGUGCUUCAAACGCGCUGAUAAGUCCCUUGCAGGCACAUUGAUGGCUGAAUUGACUACCAUGAAAUAUGAUGGUCAGAAAGGUAUUCAGCAACAUAUUUUAAACAUGACUGAAAAAGUUGCAAAGCUUAAGGCGCUAGGCAUGGGUAUGGAUGAGUCCUUCUUGGUACAGUUUGUCCUUAACUCACUUCCAUCACAGUUUGCUCCAUUCAAAAUCCACUAUAAUACUAACAGUGAUCAGUGGAACUUGAAUGAGCUCACCAGUAAAUGCAUACAAAAGGAAGUGAGAUUAAGACAAGAAGGACAUAAUCUUGCCCUUGCUGUAACUCAUGGAGUCAUGAAGAAGAAAGGAAAAUUCAGAAAAGGAAAGAAGUUUCCACCUAAGAAAAGCGGACCUGGGGAAGGUAGCCAGAGUCAUGAUGGAAAAUUCACGGUAAGUUGCUACUUUUGUGGCAAGAAAGGGCAUGUGAAGAAGGACUGUAACAAGCGUAAGGCUUGGUUCGAAAAGAGAUGUAUAAAUCUUUCUUUUGUAUGUUAUGAAUCCAAUCUUGCUGAAGUUCCUUCAAAUACUUGGUGGAUUGAUUCUGGAGCCACAACUCAUGUGACUAAUUUAAUGCAGGGAUUCUUUACAACUAGGAAACUAAAGGAAAGUGAAAAGUUCCUCGAUAUGGGAAACCGUCUCAAGGUUGAAGUGGUAGCUGUUGGUACCUAUCGCUUACUAUUAGAGACGAGUCAUCGGAUGGAUCUUUUAAACACUUUUUAUGUACCUUCUAUCUUUAGGAAUUUAGUUUCCUUGUCCAAAUUAGAUGCUACUGGAUAUUCUGUUUUAUUCAGUUUUGGACAAUUAAGUUUGUUGUUAAAUUCUGUUACAGUUGGUUCUAGUAUUUUAUGUGAUGGUUUAUAUAAAAUUUCCUUGAAUCAUGAAUUUGCACAAGCCUUGAUAACCCUGCAUUCAAAUGUUGGUUCAAAACGUGGCUUAAUUAAUGAAAAUUCUUCAAUCUUGUGGCACAGAAGACUAGGGCACAUCUCUAGGGAAAGAAUUGAGAGAUUAGUGAAGGAAGGAAUUUUACAAAAUCUUGACUUAACUGAUUUUCAUGUAUGUGUGGAUUGCAUAAAGGGAAAGCAAACUAAACAUACAAAGAAAUGUGCCACAAGAAGUAAUGAGCUUCUUGAGAUAAUUCAUAUAGAUAUUUGUGGACCACUCUCUGUUCCAUGUUUUACAGGAGAGAAAUAUUUUAUCACCUUUAUAGAUGAUCUAUCUCGUUAUGGUUAUGUUUAUCUAAUGCAUGAAAAGUCUCAGGCCAUUGACAUCUUCGAGAUGUUCAUAACAGAGGUCAAGAGACAAUUAGAUAAAAAGAUUAAAAUUGUGAGAUCAGAUCGAGGUGGUGAACAUUAUGGCAGAUAUGAUGAAUCAAGACAAAAUCCUGGUCCUUUUGCCAAAUUCCUUGAAAAGCGUGGCAUUUGUGCUCAGUACACAAUGCCUAGUACGCCACAGCAGAAUGGUGUUGCUGAAAGGCGUAAUCGCACAUUAAUGGAAAUGGUUAGGAGUAUGAUGAGUUACUCUUCUGUACCUAUUUCAUUGUGGGGUGAAGCCUUAAAAACCGCAAUGUAUAUCUUGAACAGAGUUCCUAGUAAAGCAGUUCCAAAAACUCCUUUCGAGUUAUGGACUGGUAGGAAACCUAGCUUGAGACAUAUACAUAUAUGGGGUUGUCCAGCGGAGACAAGAAUCUAUAACCCACAUGAGAAAAAUCUUGAUGCAAGAACGAUAUCUGGAUAUUUCAUUGGCUAUUCGGAUAAAUCGAAAGGGUACAAAUUUUACUGUCCUAACCACAAUGUGAGAAUAGUUGAAACCGGUAAUGCCAGAUUCUUAGAGAAUGGUGAAAUCAGUGGGAGUAAUGAACCAAGAAAGGUAGAUAUUGAGGAGAUAAGAGUGGAUAUCCCACCACCUUUUUUAACUCAAGAAAUUAUUGUCCCUCAACCUGUUCAACAAGUUGAGGAAAAUGAGCAACAUAAUAGAGAUGGUUCAUUACUACCAGAAAAUAUUGCCAUUGAAAAUGUUGUAGAGCCACCACAACCGGCACCUUAGAGGAGAUCUCAAAGAGAAAGGAGACCUGCCAUUACAGAUGAUUAUGUGGUGUAUCUACAGGAAUCUAAUUUUGAUAUUGGGAUAAGGAAGGAUCCGGUUUCGUUUUCACAAGCCAUGGAAAGUGAUGAUUCUAGUAAAUGGAUGGAAGCUAUGAAUGAAGAGUUGAAAUCUAUGGCCCAUAACGGUGUCUGGGAUCUCAUCGAAUUGCCUAAUAGUUGUAAAUCCGUCGGCUGUAAAUGGGUCUUUAAGACAAAGCGCGACGUUAAAGGCAAUAUCGAACGAUUUAAGGCCAGAUUUGUGGCCAAAGGUUUCACUCAAAAGGAAGGUAUCGAUUACAGAGAUACCUUCUCUCCAGUUUCCAAGAAAGAUUCACUUAGAAUCAUCAUGACACUUGUAGCUCAUUUUGAUUUAGAGUUACAUCAAAUGGAUGUGAAAAGUGCAUUCUUAAAUGGGAAUUUAGAUGAAGAUAUCUACAUGGAACAACCUGAAGGGUUUGCAAAGAAAGGAAAUGAACACCUAGUUUGCAAAUUAAAGAAAUCCAUUUACGGUCUUAAACAAGCUUCCAGACAAUGGUAUAUUAAGUUCAAUAAUACCAUUACAUCUUUCGGAUUUAAAGAGAACAUUGUUGAUCAGUGUAUAUAUCUGAAAGUUAGUGGGAGCAAGUUUAUAUUUCUGAUACUGUAUGUGGAUGAUAUUUUGCUUGCUAGUAGUGAUCUUGGUUUAUUACGUGAAACCAAGGAAUAUCUCUCUAAAAACUUUCAUAUGGUUGAUAUGGGUGAGGCAAACUAUGUUAUUGGCAUCGAGAUCUUUAGGGAUCGAUCUCGAGGAGUACUAGGUUUAUCUCAGAAAGGAUAUUUUGAUCGAGUUUUAGAAAGAUUUAAUAUGCUGUCAUGUUCAUCGGGUAUUGCACCUAUAUUGAAAGGUGACAAAUUAAGUAAAAUGUAGUGCCCAAAGAAUAACAUGGAAAGGGAGCAAAUGAAGAAAAUUCCUUAUGCAUCAGCUAUGGGAAGUUUGAUGUACGCUCAAACAUGUACAAGACUGGAUAUCAGCUUUGUUGUAGGCAUGUUAGGAAGAUACCAAAGUGAUCCAGGAUUCGAACACUGGAAAGCUGCAAAAAAGGCGAUGAGGUACUUACAAGGGACAAAGGAUUAUAUGCUCACAUAUAAAAGAUCAGAACAAUUAGAGGUUGUCGGUUACUCGGAUUCUGAUUAUGGUGGUUGUCUCGAUAGCUUAAAGUCAACUUCAAGAUUUGUCUUUAUGCUAGCAAAUGGGGCAAUCUCAUGGAAGAGUGAAAAACAAUCAAUUACUGCUUCAUCCACGAUGGAGGCCGAGUUUGUUGCUUGUUUUGAAGCUUCAAGUCAUGCUUUAUGGUUGCGGAAUUUUAUCUCAGGGCUUGGUGUUGUCAACUCUAUUGCUAAACCUUUAAGAAUAUAUUGUGAUAACACCGCAACUGUUUUCUUCUCUAAGAAUGACAAAUUUUCUAGUGGAUCGAAACACAUGGAUUUAAAGUAUUUAGUUGUUAAAAAAAGAGUCCAGAAACAACAAGUGUCAAUUGAAAAUAUUAGGACCACACUUAUGGUUGCUGAUCCAUUAACUAAAGGAUUACCUCCAAAGGCAUAUUUGGAACAUGUUAUGAGGAUGGGCCUUUUGACUAAUCCAUAAUAUGUAUGAUAAUGAAUGGUGGUUAUGUAAUUGACAAUUUGCGCAUUAAAAUUGUUUAUGUUUAUUCUUAUUUUCAAUUAUGGGUGCACGUUUUAUUGUUUGAUAAACAAGAAUUGUCUUGACAAGACAAAUUACAAGGGCUAUUUGGCAUUAAGGACUGAGUUAGUAAGGGUUAUUGAUGUGUGGUGCAUGGAAGGAAACAUGACAUUAUGGUUAUGUGACCGCCAUGACUCGCAUUUAUGAUCUAAACUGAUUCAGUAUUAUGGUAUAUGAUUUUGGACGUAUUGGCGAAGUUUAUUGAAAUCGUGAUCACAUGUCAAAUUUAUUUUCCAGUAUAUAUUUUAUGUAUAAAAACUAAAUAUAUUAUAGUUUUCAUAAUCGGUUUAGUGGGCCAAGUGGGAGAAUGUUAUUUCCACAUUAAAAUUAAGUGGGUGGCCCACUAACCUAGUAUUUAGCCAAUUAAAAGAAUACCUAAAAUAUUUAAACUGUUAUAAAGAUAUUUACCCUUUGAUGGAGUGGGUAAAUUAUAAUAAUAAUAAUAUUAUUAUUUGGAAUAAAAAACAGUUAUUCGAAUAACACGUUCAUAAUGGUUUUUGAACGUGUAUUUUUGACCCUCUUCUCCUAUCAAUAAGAUAUAUAUACAGAAACCCCUUCAUGUGCUGUGAGUGCUCUCUUCCAUCAAUUACAGAAAACAAUUCUGUGUAUUAAAGUUUGAUAAGGAGAAGAAGAGAUCAAGGAUUUAAGAUCUAUAAACUGAAGGGAAAUCUCUCAUAGCUGCGUGUUCUUCAAACGGUAUGUAAUCUAUUUUAAUUAAUGUUUUUAUUAUUUUAUUUUUCAGAGAUGAGUUUGAAUUCAAUGAUCUGGAAUAUUGUGUGUUAAUUUCCGUGUUAAAUGUCAACAGUACUAACUUGCAUGUCAAAAGCAUCCGUAGCUGUAGUUUUUAGUUCAAACCUUGGCGAUAAUUUGGAUAACUUGUAGGGCCGAGGCUUUAGAACUUUGGUUUUAGAAUGUGUUUGGGGUUUAUCUCUCCCUUCGUCCGGGAAGUGAACCAUCUUUUUAAAGCGGUGAGUAUGCCAGUAAUUCUUGACAUCAUUAGCAGUCCUCCCUGGAAGUCUGCCCGCGAUCAAGGACCAUCUAUACAAGCACAGCAUGCAACAGAUCAACUAUCAAGUACAAGCACCACAUGGAGGCUUUUCUAAUUUGGAAUAUAGCUUCAGAAUUGAUAUAAUAAUAUCAUGUUACCAAUAUUAUGUUCCUUUGAUGAGUCAAAGCUGGUGCCCUUCUUCCUUUCCUAUUUUUUUCCUUGGAUAAGUCAACCCUUCCCAUUCCACUUUUCUUCAGGUGUUUGGUCUAAGACUCUAAAAUCAUUUUUAAAUUUUGAUUUUCUCUAUUGAAAAUAAUAUUCAUUUUUUCCUUAUUUUUUAAAAUCUACUUAAUUAAAAAAGCAAAAUUUAUUUUUUGAAAGUACAAUUCAUUUAUUCAUUAUUUUUUCAUUUUCUUUAUUAAAAUUUUAUUUUAACAUCAUGUGUAAUUAAAUUAACAUUAAAAUAAAUUAAUUUUUAAUAUAAAAAUACAUUCAUCUAUAAUAAUUAAUAAUAUAAAAAAUAAAAAAUACUAAUAUUUUAAACAAUAUUGAUUUCAAAUAUAUAAUAUUCAUAAUAUUUUUAUAUUUAUAAUAUUUAUAAUUUUCAUAUCAUGAAUCUCAUUUUUUAUAUUUUAUAUUUUUGAACUUUUUUCUAGAAUAUUAAACCUAAAUUUUUAAAAAUAAAAAUAAAAAUAAACACCAUCCACAUGCAUAUUCUGUAUAGGUGGUAACUCAUCUUUAACUAGCUAGUUGGAAAGUAAUUUUAGAAGCAUGCAUAAGUUAUUAUUCUAAUACAUGAUUUGGAUAUUAUUUUCCCCAAUAUAUACUAUCCAUAAAACUCACUUUUUUAACUUCUUAAUUCAUCCAUAUUUUUAAAAUAAAGGACCUUUACAUGAUUCCCCAAAGUUUUUUUAUUGCAAUGCCGCAUUGCUUGGCUUCCAAAUAUACUGAAGUUCAUGGACAAGGAGUAUUGUUCAUAGGAGAUGACAAUUGGCAAGUAGUACAAUUAUUAACUCUCUACGUAAAUUUACUGUUAAGAUACAGUCCAAAUGCAGCCUAGGAAUUGCUAAACAUGUGGUUCAAAUGCAUAUCUUGGAUAGGGUUCAGGCAUCCUGUUAUUAUGACAAAUACAGCCAUGAUCUUCUAACAAAGCUGAGAUUGUGAUCGCUUUUAGGCAUCCUGUUCAUCUUGUAUUUGGGAUUCCAUCAAUUAAUUUCUUAGGAGUUCAAUCAUGCACUAAUUCUUUGAUAAAUAGGAAGAACGAAAAAUACAAAAUAAUUUAAUAAAAUAAACAUUUUCUUUAUUUUUAUUAGAUUCCUGCAUUUGAACUCCUGAAGAAUUCUAUUUAAUAAAAGAAAGAUAUAAUUUGAAACUCCAGACAAGUUUUAAGCAACAAAUUCUCAAUCCAUUUCAAAGGACACUGACACGGACCUCAACCACUACCAUUUAUAGCUGCACGAGUUAUGUUUAAGUUGGGACUUCUAAUUUUAAAAUUAGUGGGAUUGAAACACGUAGAGGAGCAAAAAAAAAUAAAGAAAAAGGAGAAGAUUUUAGCAAGGUUUAAUAAUUAGUGUGAUUUUUACGUUUACAAAGCACAUCAACACUAAAGAAUUCGUUAAUUAAACAAAGAAAUCCCGAGCACUGUAUUGAAAAUUUUGACAAAAACAUUUAAAAGACAACCAACAAAAAUCAAGAAAGCAACAUUACAUCACAAAGGUAUCGAAAAUUUUGAUACAUGAAAUAUUAGCUAGCAUAGGUUGAGCACAACUAUAUAUUUAAUAGAAUGACUUAAAAGUGUUUUCAAAGUCAAAUAUUCUAAUUGGGCUCGCUGUGAUGGGAGCUCAUUUUUUUUUCUUUCUUCAAUAAGCUAUGUAUUGGAUCCCAUGGGUGGACCAUCAAGGAUACUCUCCCCGAGUGAUUUAUCGUUUGGUUAUUACAAUUCUCAACCAUUAUUUUAUAUUUUUCUUUUUUAAAUUAAUCCUUAUACCAUCAAUUUUCACCAUUGCUUUCAUUUUCAAAAUCUAGUUUCUAAACUUUUUGUAUUGCACCAUCUUCAAUCCUUAAAAUGAAUUCUUGUGAUUUGAUAUUUAGCUCACCAAGUUCAAAUAUUACUUGUAAUUGACAACCCUAUGCUCAAAGUGAAUACCAUGCAUUAUGGAUGUUCAACCAAAAUUUUUAUGUUAUUAUUGGGGGAGCUUUUCUUUUUUUUUUCGCAAAUAAUAUGGAUUCAAAUAUACCAUAUUAAUUGUGCCUAGCAAUUUGUUCAGAUUUAUCCUUGGAUCUAUCAACAAUUUUAAAUGUCCUAAAUAAAAGGGUUUUGUUUUAAGGGACAGGUAGAUAAAUUGAAAUGAUUCUAAAUGCAGUGCGGAAAUUAUAGUCAACGGCAACCACGCGGGUGUCCUUGUCAAUAAUGCAGCAAGCGUACGUGUCGUCACCCUGUGCGGGAUUGGUACCAUGUGGGUGUCCUUGUCAAUCAAAGCCCAUCCUGCUGCCUCCUGUGCACCAUCUUGUACCAAUCCCCGUCUUAUGCAUGGUUGCAAAUUGUUGAGACGAUGACAUAUGAGACUGAUCAUUUAUUUAUCAUCAUUUUUCAAUGAAGGUACUAUUAUUAGGCUAUUGCUCUGGCCCAUGAAGUAUUUUGCCUCUCGCAAUAUUCUUUUCUCCACAAAAUAGCUAGAGAACUACGAGAUAUAUGGUAUUGCUACUUGACAAAAACAUUUUAAGUUCUUUUUCUGCUAUCUAUUUAAUGCUGGGUUCGUAUUCUCAGCCACCCAUCCCCUGCUUCUUUUUGAGUGAGUGAGAGAGAUCGGUCAGCGUCAUUAGAUUGGAUGAGUAUGGGCUUACUAGGAUCAACAAAAUGUGUGGUACCUGUUGGUUCCUGCUCAAUAAUGACCCUUUAAGCAGCCGCCCCAGCGCCUCCAAUUUUUUAAGCAGAAAAUUGUGUUUUCAACCCUUAUAAUUUGAUAAUUAAGAUAAAAUUAGAAUGGAUGAAGAGUUUUUAUUUUAAGUACUCAAUUAAAAUAUUUUUAAAUAAUUUAAUUUUAGAAGUGGAUUAUAUCAAUACAUAGUAUAAAUUGAAUUUUUCUUAUAUAAAAGGAUUGAAAGGUAUAUUUACUUAUUUUAGAUGAAAACAAGUAGUUAAAAAUUAUAUAGAUUACAUUUGAGUUUGGUUUUAAAAUAUUUUUCUAGUCUUUAUUUUUUUAUUUUUAAAAAUAAUUUUUAUUUUUUAUAUUGCCUCUUUUUGAAAAUAGCAUUUAAUUAAAAAACUGAAAACUAUUUUUAAAAAUGAAAAUUGAAAACCUUGUUUAGCAUUAUUUUUUUAUAUGAAAAUAAAAAUAAAUAAAUUUAUUUAUUCAUUUAUGUGAAACCAAGGUUUGGUUGUGAAACCAAGGUUUGGUUAAUCUUGAUUUUGAUGAUAACAAAACAAGGUUUAGAACUAAUGAUCAUAUUUCAAGUGUGAUUAGGCAAGACGACUUCCAAAGUGGCAAUCCAAAAACAAAUCAAGCCAAGGAGAAAUCAUGAAGAAGAAGACCACCUCAAAGAGAAGAGUUUUUUCAAGACCAAAACUUCUUAAGAUCUCCUUGUAAAGUUGUUGGUGCACUAGGACUUUCAUGCAUUUCAUUCUUUAUUUAUGCACCAAAAUCAUCUAAGAGUAAUAUUGUUUUAAAUAUCUUAAGAAUCGGAUGAUUUCAUGUUUUCAACUAAAACCUUGUGUUAAAUGAUUUUCAAACUUGUGUUAAAAUGUUUUAAGUUGAAAAAGGUUGAGUGUUGAGCCAAAAAAAAUGGCUCAACCGGUUCAAACCGUCGACCGGUUGUGCUCGUCCGGUCAAGGACCGGUUGAGGGAGGCCAAAAAGUUUUUCUCUCUCCUAGUGGCUUUCUCUUCCCGGUCAAGGUUGAACCUCAACCGGUUGAAGUCCGAUUGAGGCCCAACGGUCACUUUUCCUAACGGCUAGUCAACCGGUCGAACCCCCAAUGGCUAGUUUGGCUUUUUUCUUCUAUAAAAAGGCUUCAAUCUUCAUUGUUUUACAAGCUUAACCUUCCUAAAUCAUUCUUGAUUAUAUUUGAGCCUUGGAAGAGUGUUUUUGAGUGCACCAUUGUUUCAUAACUUGCAUAUCUUUAGUGCACCAUUCAAUCCUAAUUUUUCUUGUAUCUUUGAGUUUAAAGUUCUAUUACUAGGAUUUUUGUGAGAUCAUUAUUUGUAUAUCUUUGUGAGGAAUUUUCUCAAGUGAGGGGUAUCACUUGAGAGGUUGUUCAAGAGAGGGACAUCUCUUGAAGAAGUGUAAAGGGUGCUUAGAGCCAAAAGUCCAAGAGGGUGAAUUGGAACCAUAAUCCAAUUGUAAAGAGAUUGGAAGCUUGGUUGAAGCUUCAAGAUAGUGGAACCCUCACUCGGUUAGGAGGUUGAGGAGAGUGGACGUAGGCAAGGAAGUGCCGAACCACUAUAAACUCUCGUGUUUGCACUCUCUCUUCCCUAACUCUUUUAAAUUAUAUGCAAUUAUCUUUAUUUUGUUUAUUAUAUACUUGCAUAUAAUUGUCUCUUAUUUUUGCAUAGUUUAAAUUUGUGAAAAAGAGACCAUCACCCCAUUUACCCCCCCCCCCCCUCUAGGGUGAUUACCAUAGUUUGGAUUAGCCUCAAAUUCCUAACAAUUUAUUGUGUUACUAUACAAUUGUAUUACACUAAUCGUACAAGGGAAAUGUACUAAGUGUACAAAAGUGGACAAGGAUACCAUUUGUGAAAUAUUAUAAUUGAUUAUGAGUCAUUCCUUUAUUUUUCUUAUCACUCAUGUAUUGUCCACGUAUGUCAUGCACUUUAUUUAAUUCCUACAUGGAAAUUCUAAUACUUUUCCCAAUAAUGAUAUUUGGGGAAAAAAAUUUUGACCUUAAGUCAUCCACCAUCUUCUCAACUAAACCAUUGAAAAUAUGAUUAAACACUCCUACAUAUACACAUAAUUUAAGAGGGAUAUGAAAUUUGUGUUAUUAUACAAGGGUAUUACACUAACUGUACAGGGGAAAUGUACUAAUUGUACAAAGGUGCACAAGAUUACCUUUUGUAAAUGAUUUUAAUCAAUUCUAAACCACUUUUUUAUUUUCUCUAUCACUCAAGGAUUGUACACAUAUGUUAUGCACUUUAUUUAACUCUCACAUGAAAAUUCAAAUAUUUUCCCCAAUAAUGAUAUCUGGGGAAAAAAAAUUGAUCCUAAGUUAUUCACUAUUUUUUCAAUCAAACCAUUGAAAAUAUGAUUAAUACAUCUAUAUGGACAUAUAACUUAUGGGGGAUAUGAAAUUUGUGUCAUUGUACAAGAGUAUUACACUAAUUAUAUAAGGGAAAUAUGCUAAGUGUACAAGUGUACAAGGCUCCUAAUAGGUUUUGUACGAUUUUUAAACAACUUGAGUUUGACAUUAAGAUGAUUAUUGAUAGUUUUGUUUUGUUUUUUUUACCAAACUAUGUCAUUAAGACAUUCCUUACAAAAAUUAACACAUAGGAAAUAAAAUUAAAAUAAAUCAUAUUUGAAUUGUUCAUUAUAAGUAAACUAAAUGAAAUAUAUUUUUUUACUAUUUUGCCUUUAUAAACAUAAUUUUAUUGUUAUCAAUAGAGUUUAAAAAAUCAUAUUUAAAUGGAAUUAAAAAUAAACAAAAAUUAUUUUUAUAACAUUUUUUAUUUUUUUAAAUCAUUAAUUUAAAUUAUGAAAUUAGUUUUAAAAUUAAAAAUAUUUGUUGUAAUUAUAGUUUUGAAGAUUUCAUGAUUUUUAUCUUAUUACUUUGAAAAAAUUGCUUUAAGAAGAAAGUAUUUAUUUUAAUGGUUUUAAAUAUUUAAAUCUUUAUUAAAAAAUAUUUAGGAUUAGUGUGGAGAGCAAUUAGGUAAUUUUGGAAUGGAGAAAUUUUGAAUACUUUGAAAACUUUAAUUCGGCCAAUUACCUUAUUUACACUUUUAAAAUUAUUGGAAGGUUGGUAAAUUAGUCUUAGAAAUAUUGUCUUCUUGAUUAAUAUUAUAUAUAUAUGCAUGUGAGUGUUUACAUUAUUUUCGAAAUAAUAUGAGAAAUAAUAAACAACAUGUGUCUAAUUUGCAAGUUAGAAAAAAAAAUUAAUAAUACUUUAUGAGGUAUUUAAAAAGUAUUUAUUAUAUGUUCUAUAAAUUUGAAAAAAAAAUAUUCAUAAUAUCUAAUUUACAAGUUAGAACAAACAAAUAAUACUAAUAUUUUAUGAGGUGUUUAAAAAUUAUUUAAUAUAUAUGAGAAAUAAUAUAAGUUUGAAAAAAUAAUAAUAUUUGAUGAGGUAUUUAAAAGUUAUUCACUUCAAAAAUGUAUUUGACAAUAAUAAUUUUUAACUAUCUUUCAUAUUCAAUUUGAUGAAGAAAAAUGAUUCAACUUAGUUCCACUAUUAAAUAGGUGAGAAAAUGGUAAAAGAGUUAAAGAGGGAAUGAGAAAGGUAAAGUGAUUGGUUAGUUUUUUCAUUUAAUAGUUAAGGGUAUUUUGGGGAUUUUUUUUAAAGACAAUAUCCUUCCUUUCGAUUUCUACUAUUUCAUUGGGUUUUAAGUUUAAUUAUGAGUGAUAUUAUGACCUUACCUCAAUUACCCAAUUUAGCUGGCUGAAAACACAAUUCUCCAUUUUUUAUGAUUCUGCAAAAAGAUAUGUUUGGAUUUGUUUGGGCAAAUCUCUCCCAUGGCCAAGGCAACUUACAGGAUUUUUGAGGAAUAGAUUUAUGAGGGACCUAUUCUUUAUAUCUGCAUUUCUUGUCACAUUGUGAUUAUAUACGCCGAGCUUUAUAAUUUCCUUCAGGUCAUUAUAACUCCUUUUUAUCUUCACAUUUAGGACAUGUUUGGUACUUGGGAUGAGAAGUGGGAAUGAUCCUGUCAUCUCUUCCCAUGUUUGGAUGAUUCAAAUAUUAAUAGGAAUGGAAUUAAGAACGAUUCCAAAUAUAAUGAAAUCGAGUUGUAAGUGGGAUAUCAAUUCGUUAUUAGGAUGAUGUAUUUUGAUUCUUUAGUACAAGUUAUUUUUAAAAAUAUUUUUCAAAAAUUAAAAAACCAAAAUCUUUUUUUGGAUAAAUUGUUUUUAAAAAUAAAAUUUUAUUUUAUAUUGUAAAAUACAAUUUGUAAAUUCAAUUUAUAUAAUAUAAAUUAAAUUUAAUUCAAGUCUUAUUAAAAAUAAAAAUAUAUUUAAAUUUAUAAAUAAAUUAAAAAUUAAAUACUUCUUUAAUAAAAUUUUAAUAUUAAUAUUAUAAUAAAACCAUAAAUCAUAUAUAUAUAUAUAUAUAUAUAAUUGAAUAUCAACAUCUUAUAAAAGCAUAAUUAAUUUAUUUUAUUAAAAAUAAAUAAUAAUAAUUCAAAAUUAAUAACUUUUAAUACUAUUUUAUUUUAAAUGAAUUUAAAAACAAAUAAAGUUUAAUUUUUUAAAAGUAUAAAUGAGCUAAAUUUUUCAUUACAUUAGUAUAUACAUUUAUUACUCAAUUAUCGACAUGGUACUCUAAAUUUUUUUAUUUAAUUUAUAAUUAAUUAAUCAUUUUUUUAUUUCAAAUCAUUCUUACAAAUUAAAAGAUUCAUUAAAGAAUUUAAGUCUAUUAUUUUUUAUACUCAUUAUAUAUAGUUUUUGAGUUUCAUAUUAGCUUUAAAAAUUAUUAAAUUUAUUAAUAAAUUUAAUACAAAGUUUUGCUUGGUUUGAAAUCCAUUUCUCUAAUAAAAAGAACUCAGCAAAACAAUUCAUUAUUUUAUGUUUUUUUUUUCAAAAAAUAGAAAAAAAAUUACUUUUAGAUAACAAUAGCCAAAUAAUUAUAUAAUUUUUUUUUAAAAUUAUUAUUUUUAAAUCAUACGUCUCAAAUAGGUUUUCUAUUAUUUAGCCAAAAAAAACUCUUAAAGGUGUCUUUUAAAUAAAAAUUAAAAAUUAAUUUUAAUUAUGUAUAAAGUGAGAGGUUUUAUAAUGAAAAUAAAAAAUAUUUUAAACUAAAUAUACAAAUAUUACUAUCAAUUUAUUUCUUUUUUCAUUUUCAUUCUCGUACGUAUUUGGUAUGCGAGAAUAAGGAGUGGGAAUGAAUAUCUCAGUCAUUUUUUCUUUUAUUUCUAUAUUUGGAUAACUUAUAAAUAAUGAUGAGGAUGGAAUCAAAAGCGAUUGCAAUGAGAAUUAAAUCUCACUUAUAAGUGAGUUUUCAAUUCAUUUGAUUAUGAGGUAUUUUGAUUCCUUAAUGUAAGUUAUUUUUAAAAAUACUUUUUAAAAGUAAAAAAAAAAAAACAAAGGACUUUUUUAGAUAAGUUAUUUUUAAAAACAUUUUUUAUUUUGAUUUUAUAAAAAACACAGAUUAUAAAUUCAAUUUAUACAAUAUAAACUAAAUUUAAUUCAUGUCUGGUUAAAAAAAAAAACAAAUUUUUUAGUUACAAAUAAAUUUAAAAUAAAUAAUUUUUAAUAAAAUAUGAGAUGUUCAUUCCCGCUCCUACCAGUACCAAACAUGUCCUGAAAGUAGGUCUCUUCCAAGGCCCUUGGUUAGGAAAUCGACCAAAUUUUCUUUGGACUUGGACAUAUUCUAAAGCCACUGUCCCAUUAGAGAUGAGUCUUUUUACAUAUUUCCCAUUAAAGAUCUCACUAUAUACUCUGAGCAUUGCGGCAUGAUUUUCAUACCACACAAUGAUGGUUGACUCUGCCUUAUUCCAUAUCGGUACUUCUUCUGAUAUAUUCCUUAGCCACUUAGCUUUCUCUCCAGUAAAUGAGAGGGCCAUGAACUCAUACGGAAUUGUGGAAUGAAACCUUUUCUUGUAACCGUGGGAAUAUAUGAGCAUGGAUUUUGUACUAAGGUUGCCUAGACCACAAUGUAGGGUUGACACAAUUUUUGUGGCGUUAGAUCACUUCUCCAAGAUAGCUCACUUUAUUCCUUAUGAGAAUACCAUUGAUGCCUCACAAGUUUCUCAAUUGUUUUUCAAAGACACAGUUCGACUUCUUGAAGUUCCUUGGACCAACAGGUGACACAAGAUUCAUGAAUCAAUUUUGGCACACUCAAUUUAUAAGGACUAAACUACAAUUUUCAAGCACUUGCCAUCCAUAAACUGAUGGACAAUCAGAGAUGGUGAAUCAAACUUUGGGAAAUUUGCUAAGGAGUCCUACUGGUGGCAACCAUGAAAAGAAUAUGUUUUUUUUUCCUCAAUCAGAAGUCCUCUCUCUUGGUUUUUGUUUUUCUUCCUAAAACGACAGUCAAUACUUUUAUGUUGUGAAAAAAAUGAUUCUUAUAUUUAUAGUUUCAUUCAUGACUUGAAAUAAGAAAAUUGAUCAGUAAAACAACCAAUCAGGAUUCUUGGACAUCUUAAAAGGUAAUUCUGAAAACCUUAUUUUACAUCCGAGAUGGUUUAUGGAAAGAGUCAAAUUCAUAAUUUUAAUCAUUCACAUGUUCUAAAUCUAUGGAAGUGUAGCACGGAGGCUGAAGAACUUGCUAGUUAUGUUCUAAAUCUGAAGAGGUGAUUGGGUGAGGGUUUACUUAAGAAGGGAGUGUUUUAUACUAGGCACUUAUCACAAGCUCCAAUGCAAGAAUUUGAGUUUUGUCAGUGAACUACUACAGCUCAAGAUGCAAUUACGGUCAUUAAGAAAAGAAUCUAUGACAAUGAGUGAUUACUUUGCUAAGAUGGACGAUAUUGCAGAUCAAUGUGCAAUGGCUGGUUGUUUUGUCAGUGAUGAAGAUUUGGUACUUUAUAUUUUAGCAAGUCUCGGAUCAGAAUAUGAUCCACUUGUAUGCAGCAUUACCACCUGUAAUAGUACUGAUCAUCUUUCUCUAAAGGGGAUUCAUGCUCUUCUACUCAAUCACGAAAGUAUAAUUGAGCAAUUGUAUGCAACUAAUUCAGAUUCACACCAUUUAUUUGCCAAUUUUGCUGCUCAUAAAAAUGGAGGAAAUCAUGGUCGUGGAAAAGGAAAUUUGAACCCUCAAGGUCGAGGUAGAGGAAGAAAUGGAGGUUUUUCUAGUAGAGGCAAUGGCAAUAAACCUAUUUACCAAAUUUUUGGUAAAAAAGGACACAUAACCCUCACUUGUUGGCAUAGAAUGGAUGAGAACUUUCAGUCUACAUCAUCCGUUACUAGCAGCAACAAUUAUAAGACAACAGUCUACAUGGCCACACUAGAUACAAUGAUUGAUUCAAUGCAGACUUACUUCCGGUAGCUUUUGCCAUAACUUCUAGCAUCCAAUUUGGGUUACCAAAACCACCUCAAACCCCACUCUCAGAUGUUCAUACCUCACCUACCUCACAACCAUCUAUGUCUUUAUCUGCUCAUGCUCCAACUCCAUGUCACCCCAUGAUUACCCGAGCCAAAGCUGGCAUUUUUAAACCAAAAGUGUAUGCUGCCCUCAAACAUCCCUUGAGUUUCUCACAUGGUCCUAUUGAACCUAUGUGUGUAAAGCAAGCUCUUGCUUAUCCAAAUUGGAAGAUAUCAAUGGAAGAAGAAUACAAGGCUUUAAUGAGGAAUCACAUAUGGGACUUGGUACCUUAUCAGCCCCAAUAUAAUGUAGUGGGCAAUAAAUGGGUGUUUAAGUUGAAGUUUCACCCAGAUGGCACUCUUAAUAAACAUAAAGCUAGGUUUGUUGCCAAGAAAUUCCAUCAAACCCCAGGUGUGGAUUUUUCAAUAACUUAUAGUCCUGUGAUUAAACCUGCCACAAUUAGAGUUGUACUAACUCUAACAAUUGCUCAAGGAUGGGAAAUUAGGCAACUGGACAUAAAUAAUGCUUUUCUCAAUAGAUAUCUGCAAGAAGAUGUGUUUAUGUCUCAACCUGAAGGUUUCAUUCAUCCUACCAAGCCUCAUCAUAUUUUCAAACCGAGGAAAGCUCUCUAUGGUUUGAAAUGGGCUCUAAGGGUCUAGUUUGAUAAACUUAAAGAUGCAUUAUUGCAGUGGGGUUUUCAAGAUUCAAAGUCUGAUGUAUCUUUGUUCCUAUAUAAGACCAAAGGAAUCAUACUCAUGCUAUUGGUAUAAGUAGAUGACAUCUUGAUUACCGGAAAUAAUAGCAUAGUAAUUUCGGACUUGGUUCAUGACCUCAAUAAGAGUUUUCUUCUAAAGGAUGUUGGUUCAUUACAUUACUUCCUAGGAAUUGAAGCCUUUCGAGAUGAAACAGGUCUCUAUUUAACUCAUUCAAAAUACAUUGCCGACCUGCUUCAAAAGACAAAUAUGGAUACAAUAAAGCCCUUACCAACACUAGCUAUUUUUGGAAAAGUGUACUCCAAAUCAAGUAGUGAUCUAGGGAUAAUCCAAUCAUGUAUAGAAGCAUAGUUGGAGCCUUGCAAUAUGUUACAAUCACAAGACCUGAUAUAUCAUACAUGGUUAGUAAGUUGAGUCAGUUCUUACAAAGUCCAACAGAGAUACUUUGGAGAGCUUGUAAAAGAGUAUUACGAUAUUUGAAAGGAACUAUCACUCAUGGUUUGCAUUUCCAGCCAAACCAAUCUUUAAAUCUUGUGGGUUUCAUAUAUGCAGACUAGGAUAGCUGUCCAGAUGAUGGAAGAUCAACAAGUGGUUAUUGUGUGUAUCUAGGAGGUGAUCUUAUUUCUUGGAGCUCAAAGAAAUAAAGUGUUGUUGCUAGGUCUAGCACCAAAUCAGAAUAUCGAGGCUUAGCUCAUGUGACAGUUGAGGUGAUUUGGCUCAAGUCCCUAGCAACAAAAUUGGCCCUUCAAUUGAGAUUAAGACUGGCAAUCUAAUGUGAUAACCAAGGAGCCGCCUCACUAGCUGCUAAUCCCGUUUAUCAUGCUAGAACUAAGCAUAUUGAAAUUGAUAUACAUUUCAUUUGUGAUAAAGUACUUAAAAAAGAAUUGGAUAUAUGGUUUGUACCCUUAGUAGAUCAAAUAGUUGAUUUGUUUACAAAACCACUUUCAAUCACUCGAUUCUUGAAACUUAAGGCCAAACUCCAGGUGAAAGAAUCCUUCUUUUGUUUGAAGGGGCGUGUAACGACAAAUAGUGCACAACUGAAGAACAUAAUUGCAACAGCUUCAGCCAUGUCAUCCUCUCCGGAAGCUUCUGCCAUGUCAACUAUUAGCUAAAGAUUUGUUAGAUUCUAUUUUUGAUUAGUUAGCAUUAGCAAAUUAGUUAGCAAUAGAUUAGUAAGCAAAAUAGAACACUCUGCUUUUGUAUAUAUAUAAGUAGAAUAGAACCAACCUCUGUUUCAAGUAAUGAGAAACAUAAAUAGUUUUCUUCACACAUAGGAUUUGUUAUUUUUAUUUUUCUAAAAAUGUUAUAUAUUAAAGGAGACAUAAUAUUUACGGGGUUCUAUAAGAAUGUGUUAUCUAGAUCCUCAAAUAAUGAUUAAUCCAUUAAUUUUCAAAUCAAAACUACAAAGUAAAUUAAGAGAGCUUUCUCCACAUAAAUUGGUUAAAGCCUUUAAGAUUGGCAAAAACCACAAAGAUGGACUAAAGUUAUUCUAACAACUCUACCUAAAGUCAUUCUCACACACUCAAGCCACACUCUAACCAAAGGAAUUAGACUUCUUACUAGGACCACAAACCUUCAGAAAACCAAUUCCUACUCUUUGUAGUACAAAGACUCCUAACAUGUAACAAAUUAAUUAUCAAAUCAUAAUCCUUUAGGACAAAGAUUCCUAAAAUACAUCAAGUUUUUAAUUUUGUUAAAAAACAAUAAAUCUUUACCUUAAACAAAUUUUAAAUUUUCUUCCAACUUUCCAAAUUCAAAACAUUCUUUGAUAAGCGAACACUUACAUAUAUAAUCAGAAUAGUGCAAUUAUAAAGAUGUCUUAUGCGUGGAAUAUUGAAGCCAAGUCAACUGAAAUGUUGAUACUGGGUCAACUGAAGGUAGCUUCUCCAUUGGUUGUGAUAGUGGAAGCUUCUUCCCAACAACUGGAGACUGGGUCGACUUCUCCCUUACACAAAGGAUGUUCGGACAGGUUGUCCGAGCACACUCUCCGAAGCUCAAGUCAGGCACCAAAUGGAUAGGAACCUUUAGAAAGGAGAGUAAAUAGGGGAACCCUCUAGUCUUGCGUACCUGGGCUCUGUUUUAAGAGGAUUUUUAUUGUGCUCAAGGGGAAAAGCACUGUAGUGCUAAGUUGGCACCUUGACCUAAUCUGUAAUAAUGGAAGUGAAGAGAUAGAGGGUUAUGAGGAUAGGCUUUGAGAAAAAAAGUUAACGAUGUUUCAUAAUUGAGAACCUGGGUGGGCAUUCUAUUUAUUAGAUAACAUAGUAAGAACAACAUUCCCUUAGAGGUAUUUUGACAUAUUAUUUGUGAAUAUAAUGGCUCUAGCUACUUCUAGAAGGUGGUGAUCCUUUCUUUCAACAAUGUAAUUUUGUUGUGGGGUUAUUAUGUAGGAGAUUUGAUGAAUAAUGCCUUUCUUAGAGAGAGAACUUCCUAGAAUAGAUUUAAAAUAUUCUUUUUCGUUGUCUAUUUUGAGAAUUUUAAUGUUCGCAAUGUAUUGGGUGUUAAUCAUGACAUAAAAUUUUUUGAACACUCACUCUAGUUCUGAUUUUUCUUUCAAAAGAUAUACCCAACAAACCCAAGCGUGAUCAUCAAUAAAUGUGAUAAAUCAUUUUUUUUCAUUAAAUGUUUAACUCGUGAAGGGCCUUAAAUAUUACUAUGGACUAAUGAAAAAGAUGAUGAAGACUUAUUUUUUAGGAGAAUAAAUGAAAUGAACAUGCUUGGCUAAGUGACAAAUUUCACAUUCAAAGAAAUCUCCAUUAUGAAAUAGUGAUGGAAACAAAGUUCAUAAAUAUGAAAAGCUUAGGUGGCUUAGUCUAUGAUGGCACAACAUUAUUUUUUGUUCUUUAGAAAGAGACUUACAACUCACAGUUUGAGCUUGUUUAUUCAAUUCGACUUCCUUCUCAAAAUAAUAUAACCCCUCAUGUUCUUUAGCAUUGCCAAUCUUCUUCCCCUAAAUCAGGUCUUGAAACACAGAAGAAGACUCAAAGAAAUGAGCACCACACUUUAAAUCUUUAGUCAACUUACUAAUAGAAAGAAGGUUGCAAGACAAAUUUGGAACAUGCAAUACAAAGUGUGGUUCAAUAUUAGGACCAAUUCUAAUAGCUCUAGUUCUACCACUGGUGAAAGAGAUCUUUCUCCUAUUUUAUCUUUGAAACUUCCUAAACUAGGAUUAUAUGAUGAGAAAAUUUUUCAUAGCCCAUCAUGUGAUCUAUGGCUCUAGAGUCAAUCACUCAUGGUUCCAGAUCCCUACUACAACUACUAAGAGCUAAGAAAAAAUUACCUCCAUAUGCUAGUAAUAAAGUAGUGGUGUCCUGUGAUGGUUUGAGUAGUUUGUACAAUUUUUUCAUUUUUCCUUUGGUAAGCAAGAACUAUGUACGUUCUCCAAAUUUUACCUCAAGCUAGGACCCGAUUUGUUAGAAAUCUCAGCUAAAAUUUGAAAACCAGAGUGAUCUCGAUUUCCAACCCUACUGUCCUUUGAAUUUGGUGGCUUACCAUGUAACUUCUUGUAGCAAUCUUUAGUGUGAUUUGUUUUCUUAUAGAAAUCACACCAAAGAUUGUUUAUCUUUUACUUCUUAGGGCAUUCUUAACCACAAACUUUGAAACUUCAGGUAAUGAUGGUUUUGAUCCACCUAUCAUAACCCAUUUUCGGCUUGACUCUCUUUGAACUUCAACAAAUAUUUAAGUAAUCAAUGGGAAAGGUUUGAUUCCUAGAAGUCAACCCCUGACUUCAUCAAGAUCAGGAUUUAAUCCUACCAAAAAAUAUCAGACUCGUUCUGUUUUAACCUACUUUUUGUAAAGUUUAGCAUCCUUAGGAUUUGACCAUGGAAUUUGGACAUAAAGAUCAAUUAAUUUAUUGCCACAAGUGAGUCAAGGCAUUGAAUUAUUAGGUAACAUCCAACUCCCCUAGUUUCAAAUCACGGGCUCCAUUUCCAAGUUAAAAAAAUUGGGUUAAGUUUUCCAUGUCUAAGCAUGCUAAAGUUUGUGCAUCCCACAUCUCCUUAGCAAUGGAAUAAUAUAAGAUAAGAUUCCUUGAUAUCUUAUUUCAUGGAGUUCACAAUCAAUGCCAUAACCAUAGAGUUUCGUGCAUCCCAUGUUGGAAAAGAGAGAUUUCUUGGAUUAUGUUUUAUUAUUGAACCAUCCACAUAUAACUAAGGUGGUCUCAUCCUCAUAUCACCAUUAGAGCAUACGGAGACCAUUGAAGGAAACUUUGAUUAUUUAGUUUCGUGGUUGUAAUUUGAAGCGGAGAAUUUUCAAAAAAAAAGUUGAAAACGAGGCUAUAGUGGAUGAACUUGUAGGGAUGGGUUGAGAGACUUUUGAAAAGACCUCAAAACUAGCAUCCUUGCACUCACCAGUGAAGGUUGUUCUAUACAUCUUUUUGUCUCAACUGAUACUAGCUCUGAUACCAUGAAAUUGGGUAAGAAAAAAAAAAACAGACCGUAAAUUGGAGAUUGCUUUUGUUUUAUUAUUUUAUUUCUUCAAUACAAGUAGAUUUAUAGGAUAGGUUUUGUAACAACCAACCCUUUAUUUUAAGAGAUUGACACCAGCUAUUUUUUAGGAUAUUCUAAUCAACUAUAAUAUCACAACUAGCAAUUAUCCUUAUUUAGAGAAUAGUAAUUAUCCAAGAUUCUCUAUAAUCUAUUUCCUACUUACCCUUGGAUCUCUAUUUUCUUUACAAGAUGCCAACUAGUGGAGGAGCUUUUAGGAUAACAUUUUGGGACCUAUAAAAGCCCUCAUAUCCGUUAGAAAUGGAACUUUGGGUUAUUAGGGAGAAGGAAAGAAGUUGAGUUUCAUCUAGCAUCUCUAUUAACUCCUGUCUUUUCUUAAGCUUAGUAAUUUUUCGUUGCAUUAUUCAUAAGUAACUAGCCUUUGAUUUUAGUCUUAUUCCUCAAAGUUUUUUUUAGAGAUUUUGAGAACUUUAUGUUUCAUCAUGAUGUUGAUUUUAAUUGUAGAUUCUAAGAUGGUUUUCUUUGUUCUUCUAGUUUUGAGUUGUGAGUAGUUUUCUAAGCUUGAGAGGAGGAGUCCAUGAGACUUCUUUCAUGAAAAACUAAUUUACAUCAUGGGGUGAAUGGAUAGUGUUUCUACCUAGUAAUUGGAGUCCUUAUUUUGUUUGGGAAGAAACCCUAUUUUCCUCUUCUUGAAAUGGAAACUUAGAGGUGGUUUAUUUUAGUUUAUUUAUUUAAUUUUUUUUUUUUGGUUACUUCAAGUUCUUGAGGAUCUUAGGACUUUUGACUUGAAAUCACUUCCAUUAAGCUUUAUGUAAAAUGCAAAAUGAACUUAAAGAUUACAAUGUUGUGGAGGUAUUUAAAUAAAAUUUCUUUUGAGCUUUAGUUGGUAAUUUCUCACAAGUGUUUUCAGUUGUAGGUUUUUUUAUUGUGCAUUGGUUGUGAAAAUGAGCCUCAUUAGACUCCGAUCCUUAGCAUUUAAAUUUCUCUUUUAGCUAUAAAAUGGUAGGUUCAAGUGUCAAAAUUUUGUUAUUUUCUAUUUUUUUUUUCAUCAUAAAAUGUGAUUGUUCAGUGAUAUUCCAAUUUGGUCACAAACACUUAAUUUUUUUUGCGAAGAAACAGAAGAUUCAUAGAUCACAACUUUUAGUGAUGAGCUUUUAUUUACAAAUUUCAUGACAAAUUUUUUUAAAUAGUGGUGAUUUAUUAUUUAUUUAUGACAAAUACUUUCAUGACAAAAAUUGAUACUUGUUGUAGUGAGGUAUUUAAAUAAAAUUUCUUUUAGGCUUUAGUUGGGGAUUACUAAUGAGUGUUCUCAGUCCUUGGUUUUUUAUUGUGCAUUGGUUUUUAAAGAUGAAGCCUUAUUGGACCCCCAAUCCUUGGUAUUUAAAUUAAUUUGUUUUUUGCAUAGAUACAAAAUCAAUUUUCUUCUAUUUCUCAAAAUAUUUUUGGAGGUUCUCUAAUUUAUUAACCUCAUAUUAAACAAGCCUCUUUCAACCACUUAUUCAAGAGAAAAUCAUUCCCACUUUUGGAACUAAUUCACCACAUAUCUCCCCAUCUUUUGCUAUCAUUUAAAACACUCUUCUUGAGAAAACUAUACCUGAACCACCAUAUUUUUUACUUGCAAAGACUCCUCAUACUUAGGAAUUGGUACCAUCACAUUUGCAUUUCAAGCAAACACAUGAUAGUGUAGACCCUCAAUUUUAUCCCUUUAGCACAUGUCUUUAAGUUCACUUCCAAUGCUUCACAGUAGUUCCUUGGUGGCCCAUAGCUACUCAUACUACUUACAUUUUUUGAGCCACCUUGGAGACUUUGGUUGAGGGAUUUAUCUAACCCCGUUGUGACUCUUGGCAGCCUUAAUUUAGACUUAGGCCCACUUAGGCACCCUAGACCCAUUUAGAUACACUUGGCCCAUUAGGCAUUACCUUAGGCCCAUUUAGAUGCACUUGGAACCUUCUAGCUUGCACACAUUCACCCUAGGUUACUUAGUCAAUCUUUCAGAAUAGGUCACUUGGACACUUCUUUUGGAAUAGUUCACUUAGGCAUGUGCUUGAUUUUGGUUAUUUAUUUUUCAGGAUAAGAUGAGUGUUGGCUUGACUUUUUAUUACAUGAAAUGAAUUUUUUAUUCUAUCUUUAUUUUAUUUUUAUUUUUAUUUUUGAAGGUUUGAGUUUGACAUUUAAAUUAUUAUAAUCCGUUGCAUUACUUUAUUUUCUUGAUUUUUUUUAAUUGCAUACGUCUUAUAUUUUUUGUUAUACCCUUAUCGAUUUAUUUGUUUAUUUACUCACUUAUUCAUUUAUUCUUUAAUUCCAUGAAUUGACAUUUUGGAUUUUUGUGGCUAUGUGAUUUGAUUUUAUAUUUGAUUUUAUUCUAUUUCCAAUUACAUGAUUUCUUAUUUCAACUUUAUUUUAAAUUUUGCAUGAGACUUGGAGCCAUCAAGGAGAGGAGAUCACGACCAAAGAGGGAAACUUGGAAGGAAUCCGGGCUGCAUAUAGAAAGUGGGCAGAUCACGACUUUAAGAAAGAAUCCGGGCUGCAUAUGAUUUGUUUGAAGAAAGAAUCCGGGCUGCAUAUAGAAAGUGGGCAGAUCACGGUUGAGGCACAUCCGGGAGCAUAUGGAAAGAAGAUUAAAGGGGAUCUGAUCACUUACCAAACAAGAUACGACUGCAUCCUUGGGGAAAUCUCCAUGUGAGCCACACAUAAUGGGCUUCCCAUAUCCACGCGCAUGUAGGAAAAAAUGGAAAUAAGAUAUUCCAUAAGGAGUGGGUUGCCUUAUAAAUAAAGGAGAGAAUCCAAGCAUAAGAGGAAUUUUUUUUUCGAAGGGGAAUAGGCCGAAAGAAUUUUCAAACGGAGACUUUUCUUUUGGAGGGCAGAGAGGACACGAGAGCAAUUCUUUUGAGAAGACGUGUGAAGAACAUUGAAGAGCCGACACAUAACCAUAAAAAAGGGAGGAGCAGCCCACAAAAUCUCCACAAAUAACGGUUUAUAGGUAAGUGUACGCUUUCAAAUUUAUCUUUGAUUUCGUUUUGAUUCGUCCUUUUAGUCUUGAGUGUUUUAAUGAUUUUUGUUCUUUGAUUUAAUUAAUCCUAUAUAAUAAAUUUCUUGUUUUAAUUUCGAUUUAGUUUUAAUUUAUUUUUCUUCUUUAGUUUGGAUGUGUUUGUGGUUUUAAUUCUUUAGUUUAAUUUAUCCCAUUAGAUAAAGUUCCUUUUUUUAUUUAUUCCAAUUCGAUUUAGUUUUAAUUUAUCUUUUAUGUUUAGAUGUGUUUGUAGUUUUCUUUAAUUUAAUUGUUUUUAUUAUAAAAGUCCCUAUUUUUAAUUUUGAUCUAGUUCAAUUUUAAUAUAUUUUUUAUGUUUAGAUGUGUUUGUGAUAUUAAUUCAUCAGUUUAAUUAUUUCUAUUAGAAAAGUUUUGUUUUUAAUUUUGAUUUAGUUCACUGUUAAUCUACCUUUUAUGUUUAGUGUUUGUCGUUUUAAUUCGUUAGUUUAACUGUUCAUAUUAGAAAAGUUCUUAUUUUUAAUUUCAAUUUAGUUCAAUUUUAAUCUAUCUCAUAUAUUUGUGAUUUUAAUUCGUUAGUUUAAUUAUUCCUAUUAGUAAAGUUCUUAUUUUUAAUUUCAAUUUAGUUCGAUUUUAAUCUAUCCUAUAUGUUUUUGCGAUUUUAAUUCGUUAGUUUAAUUAUUCGUAUUAGAAAAGUUCUUAUUUUUAAUUUCAAUUUAGUUCAAUUUUAAUCUCUCCUAUAUGUUUAAAUGUGUUUGAGAUGUUAAUUCAUUAGUUUAAGUAUUCCUCAUAGAUAAAGUUCACAUUUUUAAAAUCCCAAAUUAGUUUAAAUUUUAAUUUAGCUGUUAGUUUAAAUAUGUUUGUGAUUUUAAUUCCUUAGUUUAAGUAAUUUAAGAGAUAAAGUUUAAUUUUAUUUUAUUUUUUUUUGGAUUAAUUUAGUUUUAGUUUAUAAUUUAAUUUGAAUGCGUUAAUGAUUUCAAUUCCUUAGUUUAAAUAAUUUGUGAGAUAAAGUUUACUUUCUUUAAUUUCAAAUUAACUUAGUUUUAGUUUAUGAUUUAAUUUGAAUGUGCAAGUGAUCCUAAUUAGUUUGAUUUUAAUUUGUUUUUAGUUUAAAUAAUCACGCUAAAUAAAGUUUGUGUUUUUAAUUCCAAUUACUUUAAUUUUAAUUCAUUUUUAACUUAAAGGCAUUCGUGGAUCUUAAUUCUUUAGUUUAAAUGAUUGUAUCAAGUAAAGUUUGAGUUUUUAAUAUUCCAAUAAUUUUAUUAAGUAGAAUUUAAUUUCAAUUCAGUUUGAUUUUAAUUUGUUUUAUAAUCCGAAGGUGUUCCUGAUUUUAAUUCAAUUGUUUGAUUAACCCUCUUAGACAAAUUCCAUAUUUUUAAUUUCGAUCUUAGUUUAAUUUUAUUUUGUUAAUUUAUUUAUUUGCUUUAGUUUAAAUAUAUUUGUGAUUUCAAUUUGAUAGUUUAGCCAAUCUUAUUAGAUGAUGAUGAUGUCCUUAAUUUAAUCUAGUAUUAAUUAUUUUUAGUAUUGAAUGUGUUUGUGUUUUUUAUUUCAUUAACUUUGAAUUUAAUCCAUUUAUAUCCAAUUUUGUAGUUGAUUAUAAUUUGGUUUAAUUAAUUAAGUCAAUCACGUGUAAUUAUUUUCAUGUUUUAAGUAUGGUAAUUUUGGCUUUGAUCUAUUGACAUUUAGUAUGAGCUUUAGGAAUUUUAGAUAAUUAAUCCAGUUAAUUGUAUGUCAUUGGUUUCAUACCUUCAAGAUUUUUGAACUUUGGUCUUUGAUUCAUCAUAUUUUGUUAAAAUGCUAAUUUACCUUAAUUAAUUCCAUAUUAUUAUCUCCAUAUGCUAAGUUUGUUGGCUUUAAUAUUUGAUUGGUUAUUUUUAUUUUAAUUCAUGUGCUUCUUGAAAUCUAAAUGUUAGUCUUGGGUAAUAUUUUGUUAGUUUGUUUUAUUAGGAAGUCAUAAAUUUGAUGCCUUAGUGAUUGUUAGUUAAAUUCUUAUUUUUUGAAGGCCACUGGAAACUCAUGAAGGUUGGUCUUACCCUCACCACUUUAAUUGACAUGAUUUUCUAAAUCUUUAUUUUGUGAUUUUCGCUUUCUUUUGUUUUGAUUGGUAUUUUGUUUUCUAUGUUUUAUUAUUUUAAAAAUUAAUUCCUUUUAUUUUAAAAUCAAAACCUUUUUCUCCGAAGACCCCUUUAAGAAAUUCUUUUUUUUUAAAAAAAAAAGAAGAAAAAAUUCAUUUAGAGUUGUUAGAAUAAAAAAACCCCAUUUUCUUAAAAUAAUAUGCAACCAUUUUUUGAUCGGUUUGCAUCUUUCUCCGUUUUUUAAUGAAAAUUUUGGUUUAAAAUCAGACACGAAUCCAAGCUUAUGGUCCCACAUAAAUGGGAUAAUUCCAGGUUAGAUUUGUGUAUAUCAAUCGGGGAAUUGGUGAAACCCCUACAUAAAAAAAAAAUAAUAAUAAAAAAAAAAUAAAAAAAUAAAAAAUCUUUUCAAAACUUAUUUUUGCUACCGUCUUUGUUGGUUGUUACAAUCAUAUCUAUUUUUUUUGGAAUUGUACAUAAGAUGUGUGUAAUAAUUGAUGAUUUCGUAUUCUUUGAUCAUUUUUGCUAUGCCAAUUAGUUAAGCAUGUUAGGGUUUCUUAUUUUACUAUUUAUUAUCUAAGCCCCCCCCCCCUCUCCUGCGGAAGCACACUAUGAGCUAUAUAUGCUAUCCAGGUACGUUCCCUAAUACCCACUUUCUAAACCCCGUGAACAUGAUUGUCAUUGCGUACUAUGCCCAUGCUUGCUAUCCUAUUUGAUUGCCUUGAUAUAUAUUUGAUGCUUGUUUGAUUAUCUUUGACAAAAACACAUGUUGUGAUAUAUUUCUAUAUUAACUUUUAUGUUUCAUGAUAUCACUUGAGAAGCCGUUCAGGUACGCACUUUGAUUCUCUCUUAUGAUCAGACUUUCUUAUUUGACAUGCUAUUUUUUGAAAUCACCUAGCCUACCUAGGUAUCCAUGAUCAACCAUUUAAUUGCCACGUUUCCCUCAACUUAGUCAGUAGAGACCUCUUUAGGGCUUAGAAGGGUGCUACCUCCUAGAGGUACCUUCCUAGUAAGUAACCUGAUUCCCGGACCUAGACUCGGUUUUUUCAAAGAGAUGAUUUUUCCAAAAAUUAUGGAGUCACAUUUUAGGAUUUUUCUUUCUUGUUUUAUUUUCCCUUUAAAAUAAAAAUAAAAUAAGUGGCGACUCCGACUUUUUCCAAAAUUAAUUUUUCACAAAUAGAAAAGCAAGUCUCACCGAUCGAGCCCGCAUGUGAAAAAUACGGGUCCACAAAUUGGCGACUCCACUAGGGAUUUUGAGGAUCAAGCUUGAACACUAAUUGAGAAAAAUGUGGCAUUUAAUUGGUUGAUUAGAGGGUACCCCUUUUUUAGGCAAGGUGAUCUGGUCUACUUGUUUGUUUAGAAUGAUAUCUUAACAUGUUUGAUUGCCUUGAAUGAUCACUUGAUUGCUUACUCACUUCAGCAUGAUUCACUCUCACAUAUGCUAGAUAGGACUUUGAUUGUUUGAUAUUUAUCUGCUUCGCAUGACUGCUUGUUGCAUAACAACCAUUUCUCUUGCGUGUUCGUAUGAUUGCUUGUCUUCAUUCACUAUCUCACUUUAGAUCUUAGGUUUUUCGGAUACACCCACAUCCUUCAUUGUGCACUUUAGAUUAUCCUUGAGUGUUGAGAGAUGGGAGAGCCUUCACCAUAAAGAAACCCCCUAGGGACGCGAGGAAGUGCAUGUGUGGAGGUGAUGACCACCUUGCAUGGAAGCACCCCGUCUCCUUGGAGGCGUGCAGAGGGUUGCGUACCACUGGAGGGUACGAUCGCUUCUGCUAGGGAUCCUUUAACCCACCCAUUUUAUCCUAUAGCCACCUCAACCUUGUAAGUUAACUUAGACCCAAUUAAGAUUUCAUUCCUACACGUGGGUGCAUCUGUGGACCUUCAGAGCUGCCUUGGUCAUGAUUGGGUUCGGUUAUCCCUUAUGUAGUCUCCUUUUGGUGUGAUCAGAGAUGAGUAUCAGAUUGAGUAUAUUUGGGCUUUACUUCUACGCACUUGUCAGUUGAUUCCUACAGAGUCACAUUCGUACCGCACCUUAUCCAGUGUUUCCAUAUUUGUAGGAGGGUUUACCUUGACCGAUCUGGAUUCACUUUUGUGGAUUAGAGUUGAAGGUAGAUUGACCAGAGUAUCAGACCAGUCAGAUUAGAGAUCAGAUCAGAGGGAUAUGGACUCACAGAUAGUUACCGUCGACCAGUUUGCCGCAGCCAUGGCUUCUAUCCAGGAGGCUAUAGCUAACCUUGGUCAGAGGAUAGAUGGACAACAGACCCAACAGGUCCCAAUUCAGGAGAAUGCCCAAUUCGAUACCACAGUACCGCCACCUCCUCCGCCCAGUUAGUCAGUACCAUAGGUUAUACCUUUCACUCUGCAUAGUCAGACCGAGGUUGCCCCGUUUCCUAUCACAUUGCCUAUCCCGACCUCAGAGGACCCACAUACACGUAUGGAUAAACUUGAGCAAAGGUUAAGACAGAUGAGGGCUUCAGACGGAGUUAUUACUUAGGAGGAUUUUGAUGGAGCACCGAUAGCCAGUUUGCUAGCCAAGUUUAGGAUGCCCGAGAUUGAGAGAUACACGGGCAUAGGCUAUCCUCACAUCCAUUUGAGGCUUUAUAGUACAGUUAUGAGGGCCCACGACUGGAUGAGGCCUAGAUGGUUAUGUUUUUCCCUAUGUCCCUGAGUGGUGCGGUACAGCGUUAGUUCGCUUCAUUGGAUGUAUCACACCGUAGGACUUGGGACGACUUGACCCGGGAGUUUUUGAGAUAGUUUGCAUUUAACACUAUCAUUGAUGUUUCGAGGAGAGAGUUAGAGGUUUUGAGAUAGAGGCUAGAGGAAUCAGUCACUUCAUUCAUCUCCCGCUGGAGGGAGAAGAUUUCACAGAUCAUUAAUCGUCCUUUAGAGAAGGAUCCGAUUAGCAUGAUCAUGAGGAGCUUGCAGCCUAAAUUUGCUAGACACUUGAUGAGAUUUCCCCACACGGAUUUUGGAUCUCUAGUACAGGGUUUGUAUGGUAUAGAGGAGGGCAUUGCUAGAGGAUUGUGGCCCGAGUCUUCCCAUACUGAUUCUAAGGGGAAGAAGCCUUUAGGAGGAUAGAGAUCAAGAGAUGUUGGUGCUAUCAGUUUAGCAGGGAUGAGACUUCCUAGACACUAUCAAACGGUUGGGCAAACUUUUGGAUUCUACUAACCACCAUCACCCCAUGUGUAGUAUAGGCCACCUGCUCCCUCCAGACCCAUUACUCCUACUUACCUACAUCCAGUCUCACAGCCUGCUUUUGUCACACAUGUUAUAGAGAGACCUCCUGCCCUAUACACCCGACCCCGAGCUCUGCAGACCACCACUUAUGUGUAGAGGCCAUCACAUUAGUUCGCUUAGUUAGGUAUGCCUUUGAGUCGAGCUUUUCAUAAGCUUAUAAAGGGUGGAUUAUUGACUCCAUUGGCACCCAAGCCAGUACCUCAGCCAGUACCGCCUCAUUUUAGAUUUGACCUACACUGUUCUUAUCAUCAGGGACCAGGACAUGACACGGAUCACUGCAACGCCUUGAGACAUGCUAUUCAGGAUUUGAUAGACCAGAGUUUAGUUAACUUGGGGCAGCCAAGUGUGACCACUAACCCUCUUCCUGCCCAUUCUACACACGCAGUGCUUCCAUCUCCAAGAGAUAUUCAUCACAUGGACCUUAUAGAGGAUGACAGUAUACAUAUGUUGAGUUGGGAUGAUGGGUUACCCGAGCAAAUUGUUUUGCAUGACAGUUAUGAGAUUGAUGGGGUUUCAUUGGGUUCUUAGGCCCCUACACCAUUCAGUUUGAUCCCAGACGAGGCACCAUUCCAGUUGACUCAUCCUACACCCUUGAUUAUUGGAUGUCAUGAUACUUUUGUCCCGUUCACUUUAUGGUCAGAGGAUGAUGAUUCGGAGGGAAGAGAGAUACAGAUUGUGACUUGUAAUGGAAAGAUAGCUCAGCUACUACCACUAGUAGUUAGACCAUUUGAGGGUGCAGCCUCUCAUGAGGAGGUUAGAAUAGAGGAUGAUGAAGUUUUGAGACAGCUACAGAGCACUCAGGCCCGUAUUUCUAUUUGGAGUUUAUUAACAUCAUCCAGUACUCAUAGAGAUGCUUUGAUUCGAGCCUUGAGUCAGAUCAGGGUAGAGACUACCACCACUCCAAAGAGAUUGAUUCAUAUGAUGAAGGCCGACAGGGCCACUUGCAUUGUGUUUUCAGAUGAUGACUUGCCACUUGAGGGUUCAGACCAUGUACGCCCUCUAUAUAUCACAGUUGGUUGUUCAAGCCAUAGAGUCCCAUCUGUCCUGCUGGACAAUGACUCAGCCCUGAAUGUCUGCCCUUUAGCCACUACUGUAACCCUUGGUUUUGCACCUUCAGAUUUUGGUCCUUUUGCUCAGACAGGCAGAGCAUAUGAUAGCACUAAGAGGGAGGUUGUGGGUACCUUGGUGAUUGAUUUGAAGAUUGGUCUAGCCACAUUCUCUACUUUGUUCUAGGUUUUGAGGAUUCCUACAUCCUUUAACCUGUUACUUGGUUGACUUUGGAUACAUAGAGCUGAAGCUAUCCCUACUUCCCUUCAUCAGAAGGUGAAGUUCAUUCAUAAUGGGCAGGUUGUCACAGUACAAUCUACCAGAGAUAUGUUAGCCUCUUCCGAGCCAGUACUUCAGAUUAGUCACAGUGAGGAUGACCUAUUUUUGACUCGAUUUACUUUUGAUGAAAUACAGACUCUCGAGAUUGAGGAUUUUCGUAAAGACUUUGUGGCUAUGUCAUUUGAUUAGCACAGUAGCAUAGUGGUUCUCGAUAUGAUGAGGGGUAUGACAUUUCUACCUAGUAUGGGGUUAGGACGACGCCAGUAGGGACCCAUCAAGUUUAUAGCUGCCAUUGAUCAUGAUACAACAUUUGGACUUGGGUUCAUUCCUACCGAGGUCGAUUACCGUUACAUGACGCGGCUGUGCAAGGAGAGGGUGAGGGCCUGUUUAUCCCACACACCAUUUGAUUAUCCUAUUCGACCCUAUAGGAUGAGUUUAGUCGACUACUUUGUCAGAGGACAAGAGAUUUGACCUCGUAUAGAGGAGAUUCACAGUAUGGUUCAUACAAAUAGAAAGAUUGAGCUUCAACAUCUAUUUCACCAGUUACAGUUGAGUAAUGGGGCUCCUGGCACUUCUGUUUCUAUAUCGAUUACUCCUACGUCUCCAGAUCGAGCUAGCAUGUGGUCUCUAUGCUUUCUAGAGGAGAUCACUGAUGAUGGAGUGAUUGUUGAUCCUACUGAGAUGAUUGAUGGAGUUGUGCCUCAUGAUGAGUACCGAGAUGAGAUGGACAUGAUGACCGUGAGCUAGAUUACCAGCAUUGUUUAGCUUAAGCCUGUUUCACCAUUUGAUAUGUUUGGGAUGUCUACCAUUGAGGUUCUUGAGAGGGCCUAGAUUAUUCCUGUUCCAGAGCUUCUAGAGGAUGAUAAUAGUUUGUUUGAGGGCUCUGUUAGCCCAGUUGAGGGAGCAUCCGACCUUAUGGACCCACCUCUUUCUUUUGAUGUUUUAUCGGGAUUUGUCUCCCGCUUUAACGAUGUUUUUGUUGCUUCAUUUAUGGAUUUGAGUAUUUUUUUAGUAUUCGCCUGCCUCUUGUGAUAGUACCUCUAUAUCUGCACCCCACUCACCCACUUCACAUAUAUUUGAUAUAGAUGAUGAGGUUGCACAACCCAAUCCAAAUAGGGACUCUUCUGAUCAUGACUCCGAUCUCGUGGAUGAGAAAGUUUCACCUGCUACAAGGGAUGUUGAGAAUGUUGAUUUUGGCAUAGAGGAUCAGCCUAGAGAGCUGAAGAUUGGUUCACCCCUAUCUACAAAUGAGAGAGAUAGACUUAUUCAUUUACUCAGGUCAUACUUGGAUGUCUUUGCAUGGUCUUAUGAGGACAUGCUUGGUCUUGAUCCCUCUAUAGUUCAACACCACUUACCUAUCCUACCACAUGCCAAACCAGUUAAGUAGAAAUUGAGACGAUUACAUCCACGUUGGAGUCUGCAGGUGAAAGAGGAGAUUCAGAAACAGCUCAGUGUUGGAUUCAUAUCAAUGGUUGAGUAUCCAGAGUGAUUGGCUAAUGUUGUCCCUGUUCCCAAAAAGGAUGGCAAAGUUAGAGUUUGUGUUGACUUUAGAGAUCUUAAUAAAACCAGCCCUAAAGAUGACUUUCCUCUCCCACACAUUGAUUUGUUGGUCGAUAGCACUGCAGGCCAUUCGCUGUUAUCUUUCAUGGAUGUGUUUUCAGGGUAUAAUCAGAUUUUGAUGACUCUAGAGGAUAUGGAGAAAACAACCUUUAUUACUGAGUGGGGUACCUACUGUUACAAGGUUAUGCCAUUUGGGUUAAAGAAUGAAGGAGCCACUUAUCAGAGGGUCGCUACUACUUUAUUUCAUGACAUGAUGCAUAGGGAUGUUGAAGUUUACGUGGAUGAUAUGAUUGUGAAAUCCCGAGGCAGAGUAGAUCACCUAGAGGCUCUAGAGAGAUUCUUUGAGAGGAUCCGAAAGUUUAGAUUGAGGUUAAAUCUUAAGAAGUGCACCUUCGGAGUGACUUCUGGGAAGUUAUUGGGACAUAUGGUUAGUGAGCGAGGCAUAGAGGUCAACCUAGAUAAAAUCAAAGCCAUACUUGACAUGCCUGCACCGAAGACUGAGAAAGAGAUUAGAGGUUUUCUGGGCAGAUUAUAGUACAUCAGUCGUUUCAUAGCCAGAUUGACAGACAUAUGUGAGCCUAUCUUUUGUCUUUUGAGGAAGAACCAACCAACAGUUUGGAGCGAUGAUUGCCAGCUUGCAUUUGAGAAGAUUAAAUAGUAUUUGCUUUCUCCUCCUGUUUUAUUGCCUCCUACGCCAGGACGUCCACUUCUUCUAUAUUUGUCAAUUUCAGACAUGGCCUUGGGAUGUAUGUUAGCUCAGAUUGAUGACUCAUGGAAUGAACGAGCUAUUUACUAUCUGAGUAAGAGGAUGCUGGAGUAUGAGAUGAAGUAUGUUAUGAUUGAGCGCCUAUGCUUAGCAUUAGUUUGGGCUACCAGGAGAUUGAGGCAUUACAUGACAGAGUACUCACUGCAUUUGAUAUCCUGUCUAGAUCCAUUGAGAUACUUAUUUGAUAGACCUGCAUUAACUGGUAGACUGAUGAGAUGGCUCGUGCUUUUGACAGAGUUCGAUAUCCAGUACGUUUCUCAGAAGUCUAUUAAGGGAAGUAUUGUCGCCGACCACCUAGCCUCACUAUCGACAUCUGAGGAUAGACCAGUUGAUGAUGAUUUUCCAAAUGAGGAGUUUGUUGCUAUGACUAGCUUAUCAGGAUGGUGCAUGUACUUCGAUGGUGCAGCCAAUUAAUCAGGGUAUGGGAUAGGUGUUCUGUUGGUAUCCCCUCAGAAUGAUCACAUUCCGAGGUCUGUUCGUUUGACAUUCUCUUAUCGACAUUCUAUCACGAAUAAUAUAGUUGAGUAUGAGGCUUGUAUCCUUGGUUUAGAGACUGCGUUGGAGCUUGACAUUAAACAGAUAGAGGUAUUUGGUGACUCCAAUCUGGUACUUAGACAAAUUCAGGGAGACUGGAAGACUAGGGACGUAAAGCUUAGGCCGUAUCACGCUUAUUUGGAGUUACUGAUUACGAGAUUUGAUGACUUGAGAUAUGUUCAUCUGCCCAGAGCGCAGAACCGAUUUGCCGAUGCCUUAGCUACCCUAACUUCUUCUAUGGACAUUCCGAUUGAUGUAGUUGUACGUCCAUUGCUGAUUGAGUUGAGAUUUGCACCUACCUACUAUUGUUUGAUUGGAGAAACAGAGGUCCAGGAUGAUCUACCUUGGUAUCAUGACAUUUAUCAGUUUCUUAGAUUUGGCACAUACCCUGAGGUAGCCACUGCCAAGGAUCAGAGAGCACUGAGGCAUUUGCCUAUUAGAUUUGUGAUUUGUGGAGAUACUUUAUAUAGGCGAUCAGCUGAUGGUAUGCUUCUAUUAUGUUUAGAUUGAGCCUCUAUAGAUCGAGUGAUGAGAGAAGUUCAUGCAGGAGUUUGUGGUCCACAUAUGGGAGGACACAUGCUGGCUAGUAAAAUUAUGAGGAUAGGUUAUUUCUGGUUGACUAUGGAGACAGAUUGUUGUCAGUUUGUUUAGAAAUGCCCAGAGUGUUAGAUUCAUGGUGAUCUCAUUCAUGCACCGCCAUCAGAGUUACACACUUUGACCUCGCCAUGGCCAUUUUCAGUAUGGGGUAUUGAUAUUAUUGGGAAGGUUUCACCAAAAUCUUCAUGUGGUCAUGAGUUCAUCCUAGUUGCCAUAGAUUAUUUCACCAAGUGGGUGGAAACCGCAUCAUAUGCGAGGUUGACAUUUGCUAGGGUUGCCAGUUUCAUCAAGUUACACAUCAUUUGUCGUUAUGGGGUUCCCCAUGAGUUGAUUUCAAAUAGAGGGGUGCACUUCCAAGCUGAGGUAGAUACUUUGUUACAGAAGUAUGGCAUCCGACAUCAUAGAUCUUCAGCAUAUAGGCCACAGACCAACAAGGCAAUAGAGGCUGCGAAUAAGAAUAUUAAGAGGAUUUUGAGGAAAAUGGUUGAAACUUCUCGAGAUUGGUCAAAGAAACUCCCUUUUGCAUUGUGGGCAUACUGUACCUCUUUUCGCAGCUCUACAGGAGCUACACCUUACUCGCUAAUGUAUGGUAUGAAGGUUGUUUUGCCGGUUGAGACAGAGAUGGGUUCUUUGAGAGUAAUCCUUAAGCAGCAGAUUUCUGAGACAGAGUGGGUUUAGGCUCGGUUUGACCAGCUUAACCUUUUAGAUGAGAAGAGAUUGAGAGCAACCAAUCAUGUUCAGGCCUAUCAGAGGAAGAUGGCUCGUGCCUUCAGGAAACGGGUUAAGCCUAGACCAUUACAAAAAUGGGAUUUAGUUUUAAGGAUUCUCAGAGGUUUGAUUGGAGACCUUAGAGGAAGUUUAGACCUAGUUGGAGUGGGCCUUAUGUUAUUUGAGAGUUGACUCCAGAAGGGGCUGCAUGGUUGACUGACUUAGAUGAAAACCAGUUUUCAAAGCCUACCAAUGUGGAUCAACUGAAGAAGUAUUAUGUUUGAGAUUAGGGUCGCAGGAUGGAUGGCCAUCAUUUCAGUCAGCCUUACACCUUAUCACAUUUAUUAAUGUAUUAAACCGUUGCUAGCCUAUUGAACCCCACAUGGUAUGUUAUAGCCUUAUUUCUUUCUUAUAGCCUUAAUUACCAUUUCUAUACCCUGGUUAGGGCCCUUUGAUGUUUAUGCAUGCUUUGCUAGGAAAGUCUCAUGAGUUUUAGACUUAUAGGCCUAUUUUCUCAUUCUUGUUACCAUCCCCUUAUCACCCCCGUUUGUUCUAUUUUACUAUCAUCACAUUUUCAUUAUCUUAUUGUGUUUAUCAUUAUUUGCUUCAUCUUAUCUCUUCUCUUUCUUGGGUUGAUGAUUCUUCACAUCUUGGUGCAAAAGAGGGCAGUCAUAUCACUCCAUCCAUCCCAUCAAUUGGCAUCGAUUCAGAGAUUUUAGUUUGAGAGGUUGUCUCAUGGGUUGGGGUUCAUGUAUUCAUCAGUGGUUUGAGAGAGUUUGUUCACUCCUUGUAUCUUUCCCAUUGGAGUCCGAUUUAUUGAUGAUCAGAAGAUGCACAUUCAAAAAAAAAAAAAAAAACGCAAUGACAUGUUUGUGUAUGGUAUCUUGCUCCAUUGGGCACUUAUAUCACCUUUUGAGGUUUAUUUACUAGGUAUAUUAGUCAUUGUGGGUUCUUGUGAGAUUUUUAUACGAGUUUUCACUCCUUGAGCCACUCUUGUUAUGCAUUUGGAGUGUUGGGGGUUCAUGUGAGGGUUCUAUGGUAUCCUAUGCUUCUUGGGUCAUGGUAGAUAUGUGUUAGGUAUGAGAGAUGAGUGACCUUUUACUAGGGUCUCCAGAUCAUUGUCUUAUCCACUAUUACAUCGUUGGUUAUAUGACUUUGCUUUAUUGUACUGAUAUGGAUUGAUCAUCAUUCAUUCCCCUUUCUUAUUGCCUUACUUUGUAUCUCCUUACCCAUUUCCAGAUCUUCAUUCCACUUUUUAUCCAUUUCCUACAUAUUGAUACACGUUUUUUGAUUCGAUACCUUAUUCACAUCAUUUACAUGUUUCAUUGAUGGUUUGACCACUCAUCCUUUCUCUCAUUUCGCCCUUGACAUUUCCUUUGGUUACCUUUAGGUCCAUGGCUCAUGAGGUUUUUUUCUAUGCAUUACAUCUUAUACACGAGAGUAUGGGUUUGAUCAUUGGGUAUUUGAGCCUAGUUUCCCUUCAUUUCUUUCAUCCUAUCACCUUGACCUACGUUAUGUCUCGUGUCUUAAGACCACCCUGAGGCCAUGAGAUCAGGCGUUAUCUUUGACAGUCUUCACUUGGACAGGCUUUUGUAGACUGGUUGAAGUAUAGUCGUUACCAUGUUCUCUUUUAUGGAAGAUACUUUUGGAAGAAUUUGGUCUCUCUCUUGCUUGACAUAUUGAUGUUUGAUGGAUUUUUGAGUUUGAAGACAAUUCAUUGAUGAUAUCGGAUUUAUCCUUUUGUCGACAUCAGAUAUCCAUACUGGGGCAUAUUCCCCUUUCAUUCGGUUGAGAUGAGCCCCUAGUGGAGCACUUUCUUUGAGUUUGGGCUUAUUUUCACUGAUUCGAGAUUCCUAAUAGAGUAUGUUGAGAUGAUAUCAGUUAUAGUGGAGCAUUAUUGAGCUUAUUGACAGUUUUUAUGAUUCUAGGUUCCAUUUGCGGAGUAUUUUUGAGAUAGACUAGUGGAUCAUUUUUAAGUUGGAGGCAAUUUUCAGUGCAGUGUAUAGAUCUUAUAUAUUGGGGUAUAUUUUCCCAUUUUGAGGUCACCAGAUUCCCAUCAGAUUUAGUUAGGGAUUCAUCAGAGAAGUGCUUCUACUCUCGAGAUUAUCAUAUUCCUUAUCAUUUUGGUUAUUCAUUUGAGAUCAGAUUUAAAGUGUCUUCCUUGAGCCAUCGGCUGAUACUUCAUUCUGAUUUCUUAGCGGAUUAUUGUUGAGUUGGAGACAGUUGAUUGAUGAUGUUAGAUUCAUCAUUUUGAUUGUGCAUCAGAUAUCCACACUAGGGCAUAUUUCCCCUUUUCUUUGAGGUUUCUAGUUGUUGUUGGAUGAUAUGACUAUUCCUAUCCAUGGUUAUAGAGAUGUUUGAUUGAUUUUGACGGAUUCUUUAUUGUACAUCAGAUAUCCAUACUGGGGCAUAUUCCCCUUUCCAUGAUGAGAUUAUGUUCGGGCAGCAGUACAUAGAUGGAUGAUCAUUGUUGGUUGUUUAUCUCAUAACUUCGACAUCAUAUAUCCAUACUGGGGCAUAUUCCUCUCUCCUUUACGAGAUUUGUUUGGGUAGUGGUAUGAGGAUGGAUGAUUAGUGUCGGUUGUUUACCUCAUGACUUUGAUAUCAAAUCUUAUACUGGGGCAUAUUUCCCCAUUUUCUUUUAGUAUCCUUGAGAUUGAGACAGUGGCCAGCUUAGUUUUAGAUUGAGUGCCAGUCUGGAGUUUCCGACGAUUGACUUCAUUAGGACCCCCCUAUAAGGAUUUGUUGAGAUAGAGAUGGAUCAUAUCGGGUUUUACCCGAGGAGCAUGGGUGGAUCCUUUAGCCAAAUGUUCAUAGGAUAGAUUUGUUUUCGUCAUUGUUACCUUGAAGAUUGGAUUACCCAGAUGAGCAGUAUUUUGUGCACUUUGAGAUUUGUUUUUAGAUAAGCCACAAUAUACACACUUUGAGAUUUACCUUUUGAGAUCCGUCGACAGAGCAGCUUUUCAGACACAGAGAGAGUUCUUUCAGUUUAGACUUUUCAGAGGUUUGUCAUGAUACAUCGGUUUCUGACCUAUUGAUUUCAACGGAUGAUUGAUUUACUGGUUGUUUCAACACUGCAAGCACCCUAGAUACUGGGGCAUAUUUCCCUUCUUGAGUUCAGUAGUCCAACUCUUGGCAUUUUGAGUGUAUGGUUUUGAGCCUAUUUAUUUCCUAUCCACUUUCGAGUUAGUCUUAUUUAUCUGUUGCUUCUAGACCCUGAGUCUUACAGCCCUGAGCUAUCCACUCCUUCUACGCCCUGAGCCUCGUAACCCUGAGCUAUCAUUUUCCUCUUAGUCCUUGAGCCUCAUAGCCUUGAGCUAUCCAUUCCUUCUAGGCCCUAAGUCUCAUAGCCCUAAGCCAUCCUUCUCCUCUUAGGCCCUGAGCUUCGUAGCCUUGAGCUAUCCUUUUCCUCUUAGGCCCUGAGCCUCGUAGCCCUGAACUAUCACUUCUUAUUUAAGACCCAGAGUCUUUCCAGCCCUGAGCUAAGCCUGCAUCAUUUGGUCGCCCAUGAGUGGUAUGACCUGGAGUUUGCGUAUCGCACUCUCUUUCUAGUUGAUCAGUCAUAGAGCUCCGAGCUCAUGGCCCUGAGCUAUUCGUUGUAACCCUGAGUUACUCAUUGCAUCAUGACCCAGAGUCAUUCAUUCCAUCCAUAGCCUUGAGCUAUUCAUUGUAACCCUGAGUUACUCAUUGCACCAUGACCUAGAGUCAUUCAUGACAUCUUGAGCCUUGAGCUCACGACCCAGAGUCAUUUGCAUCCUUCACAUCCCUGAGAUGUUUCGUUUCAUCAUUCUAGCCAAUUGUGAGUGGCCUCGACCCGGCACCAUGAGCCGAAAAGCAUCCUGAUCGGCUAUCCGUUUAGAGCCCUGAGUUCUCGACCUAGAGUCGAUUUUCAUUUAUGACCUAGAGUAAUUUCUUUCCAUUUAGAGCCCUGGGCUCAUGACCUGGAGUCAUUCACUCCAUCUAUGACCCAUAGUCAUUCUUAGCAUUUAUAGCCCUGAGCUCGCAACCCAGAGUCGUUUAUCCUAUUCAUGACCCAGAGUCAUUUAUCCUAUUUCCGACCAUGAGUCAUUUAUCCUAUUUUUGACCUAGAGUCGUUCAUCCUAUCCAUGACCUAGAGUCAUUCAUCUCAUCCAUGACUUUGAGUCAUCAUUUUCAUAUAUUUCCAUCUUUGUGCUACUUGUCACAUACCUUUAUCUCUUUACUGUCAUUCUCCCCACAUAGAGUAGUUUCAUCCUUGUCGUUGAAGCCUUGUGUUCCAACCUUUCUCUCGCCAUGUGCUAAGACAAAAUCUCUGGUCCUUCUUUAGUUCUUCGGUAUAGUUCACUUUGUUCCAUUCAUUAUUCGUAUUUUUACUCACAUUCAUUACACUCGCAAUCUAUACCGAAGAGGGGCAUAUUUGUAUACCCUCAAUUUUGUCCCUUUAGCACAUGUCUUUAAGUUCACUUUCAAUGUUCCACAGUAGUUCUUUGGUGGCCCAUAACUACUCAUACUACUUACCUUUUUUGAGCCACCUCAGAGACUUUGUUGAGGGAUUUAUCUAACCUCAUUGUGACUCUUGGCAGCCCUAAUUUAGACUUAGGCCCACUUAGGCACCCUAGACCCAUUUAGAUACACUUGGCCCAUUAGGCAUCACCUUAGGCCCAUUUAGAUGCACUUGACACCUUCUAGCUUGCACACAUUCACCCUAGGUCACUUAGACAAUCUUUCAGAAUAGGUCACUUGGACACUUCUUUUGGAAUAGUUCACUUAGGCAUGUGCUUGAUUUUGGUUACUUAUUUUUCAGGAUAAGAUGAGUGUUGGCUUGACUUUUUAUUACAUGAAAUGAAUUUUUUAUUCUAUCUUUAUUUUAUUUUUAUUUUUAUUUUUGAAGGUUUGAGUUUGACAUUUAAAUUAUUAUAAUCCGUUGCAUUACUUUAAUUUCUUGAUUUUUUUUAAUUGCAUACGUCUGAUAUUUAUUUUUAUACCCUUACCAAUUUAUUUGUUUAUUUACUCACUUAUUCAUUUAUUCCUUAAUUCCAUGAAUUGACAUUUUGGAUUUUUGUGGCUAUGUGAUUUGAUUUUCUAUUUUAUUUUAUUUUAUUUCCAAUUACAUGAUUUCUUAUUUCAACUUUAUUUUUAAUUUUGCAUGAGACUUGGAGCCAUCAAGGAAAGGAAAUCACGGCCAAAUAGGGAAACUUGGAAGGAAUUCGGGCUGCAUAUUAUUUGCUUGAAGAAAGAAUCCGAGCUGCAUAUAGAAAGUGGGCAGAUCAUGGCUGAGGAACAUCCGGGAGCAUAUGGAAAGAAGAUUAAAGGGGAUCUGAUCACUUACCAAACAAGAUACGACUGCAUCGUUGGGGAAAUCUCCAAGUGAGCCACACAUAAUGGACUUCCCAUAUCCACGCACACGUAGGAAAAAAUGGAAAUAAGAUAUUCCAUAAAGAGUGGGUUGCCUUAUAAAUAAAGGAGAGAAUCCAAGCAUAAGAGGAAUUUUUUUUUCGAAGGGGAAUAGGCGGAAAGAAUUUUCACAUGGAGACUUUUCUUUUGGAGGGCAGAGAGGACACGAGAGCAAUUCUUUUGAGAUGACUCGCGAAGAACUUUGAAGAGCCGACACAUAACCAUAAAAGAGGGAGGAACAACCCACAAAAUCUUCACAAAUAACGGUUUAUAGGUAAGUGUACGCUUUCAAAUUUAUCUUUGAUUUCGUUUUGAUUCAUCCUUUUAGUCUUGAGUGUUUUAAUGAUUUUAGUUCUUUGAUUUAAUUAAUCCUAUCUAAUAAAUUUCUUGUUUUAAUUUCGAUUUAGUUUUAAUUUAUUUUUCUUUUUUAGUUUGGAUGUGUUUGUGGUUUUAAUUCUUUAGUUUAAUUUAUCCCAUUAGAUAAAGUUCCCUUUUUUUUUAUUCCAAUUCGAUUUAGUUUUAAUUUAUCUUUUAUGUUUAGAUGUGUUUGUAGUUUUCUUUAAUUUAAUUGUUUCUAUUAUAAAAGUCCCUAUUUUUAAUUUUGAUCUAGUUCAAUUUUAAUAUAUUUUUUAUGCUUAGAUGUGUUUGUGAUAUUAAUUUGUCAGUUUAAUUAUUUCUAUUAGAAAAGUUUUGUUUUUAAUUUUGAUUUAGUUCACUGUUAAUCUACCUUUUAUGUUUAGUGUUUGUCGUUUUAAUUCGUUAGUUUAACUGUUCAUAUUAGAAAAGUUCUUAUUUUUAAUUUCAAUUUAGUUCAAUUUUAAUCUAUCUCAUAUAUUUGUGAUUUUAAUUCGUUAGUUUAAUUAUUCCUAUUAGUAAAGUUCUUAUUUUUAAUUUCAAUUUAGUUCGAUUUUAAUCUAUCCUAUAUGUUUUUGCGAUUUUAAUUCGUUAGUUUAAUUAUUCGUAUUAGAAAAGUUCUUAUUUUUAAUUUCAAUUUUAAUCUCUCUUAUAUGUUUAAAUGUGUUUGAGAUGUUAAUUAUUAGUUUAAGUAUUCCUCAUAGAUAAAGUUCACAUUUUUAAAAUCCCAAAUUAGUUUAAAUUUUAAUUUAGCUGUUAGUUUAAAUAUGUUUGUGAUUUUAAUUCCUUAGUUUAAGUAAUUUAAGAGAUAAAGUUUAAUUUUAUUUUAUUUUUUUGGAUUAAUUUAGUUUUAGUUUAUAAUUUAAUUUGAAUGCGUUAAUGAUUUCAAUUCCUUAGUUUAAAUAAUUUGUGAGAUAAAGUUUACUUUCUUUAAUUUCAAAUUAACUUAGUUUUAGUUUAUGAUUUAAUUUGAAUGUGUUAGUGAUCCUAAUUAGUUUGAUUUUAAUUCGUUUUUAGUUUAAAUAAUCACGCUAAAUAAAGUUUGUAUUUUUAAUUCCAAUUACUUUAAUUUUAAUUCGUUUUUAACUUAAAAGCAUUCGUGGAUCUUAAUUCUUUAGUUUAAAUGAUUGUAUUAAGUAAAGUUUGAGUUUUUAAUAUUCCAAUAACUUUAUUAAGUAGAAUUUAAUUUCAAUUCAGUUUGAUUUUAAUUUGUUUUAUAAUCUGAACGUGUUCAUGAUUUUAAUUCAAUUGUUUGAUUAACCCUCUUUAACAAAUUCCAUAUUUUUAAUUUCGAUCUUAGUUUAAUUUUAUUUUGUUAAUUUAUUUAUUUGCUUUAGUUUAAAUAUAUUUGUGAUUUCAAUUUGAUAGUUUAGCCAAUCUUAUUAGAUGAUGAUGUCCUUAAUUUAAUCUAGUAUUAAUUAUUUUUAGUAUUGAAUGUGUUUGUGUUUUUUAUUUCAUUAACUUUGAAUUUAAUCCGUUUAUAUCCAAUUUUGCAAUUGAUUAUAAUUUUGUUUAAUUAAUUCAGUCAAUCACGUGUAAUUAUUUUCAUGUUUUAAGUAUGGUAAUUUUGGCUUUGAUCUAUUGACAUUUAGUAUGAGCUUUAGGAAUUUUAGAUAAUUAAUCCAGUUAAUUGUAUGUCAUUGGUUUCAUACCUUCAAGAUUUUUGAACUUUGGUAUUUGAUUCAUCAUAUUUUGUUAAAAUGCUAAUUUACCUUAAUUGAUUCCAUAUUAUUAUCUCCAUAUGCUAAGUUUGUUGGCUUUAAUAUUUGAUUGGUUAUUUUUAUUUUAAUUCAUGUGCUUCUUGAAAUCUAAAUGUUAGUCUUUGGUAAUAUUUUGUUAGUUUGUUUUAUUAGGAAAUUAUAAAUUUGAUGUCUUAGUGAUUGUUAGUUAAAUUCUUAUUUUUUGAAGGCCAUUGGAAACUCAUGAAAGUUGGUCUUACCCUCACCACUUUAAUUGACAUGAUUUUCUAAAUCUUUAUUUUGUGAUUUUCGCUUUCUUUUGUUUUGAUUGGUAUUUGGUUUUCUUUGUUUUAUUAUUUUAAAAAUUAAUUCCUUUUAUUUUAAAAUCAAAACCUUUUUCUCCGAAGACCCCUUUAAGAAAUUCUUUUUUUUUUAAAAAAAAAAAUCAUUUAGAGUCCUUAGAAUAAAAAAACCCCAUUUUCUUAAAAUAAUAUGCAACCAUUUUUUGAUCGAUUUCCAUCUUUCUCGGUUUUUUAAUGAAAAUUUUGGUUUAAAAUCAAACACAAAUCCAAGCUUAUGGUCCCACAUAAAUGGGAUAAUUUCAGGUUAGAUUUGUGUAUAUCAAUUGGGGAAUUGGUGAAACCCCUACAUAAAAAAAAUAAAAAAUAAAUAAAAAAUCUUUUCAAAACUUAUUUUUGCUACCGCCUUUGUUGGUUGUUACAUUCAUAUCUUUUUUUUUGGAAUUGUACAUAAGAUGUGUGUAAUAAUUGAUGAUUUCGUAUUCUUUGAUCAUUUUUGCUAUGAGCUAUAUAUGCUAUCCAGGUAUGUUCCCUAAUACCCACUUUCUAAACCCCGUGAACAUGAUUGUCAUUGUGUACUAUGCCCAUGCUUGCUAUCCUAUUUGAUUGCCUUGAUAUAUAUUUGAUGCUUUUUUUUUAUUAUCUUUGACAAAAACACAUGUUGUGAUAUAUUUUUAUACUAACUUUUAUGUUUCAUGAUAGCGCUUGAGAAGCCGUUUAGGUACGCACUUUGAUUCUCUCUUAUGAUCAGACUUUCUUAUUUGGCAUGCUAUUUUUUGAAAUCACCUAGCCUACCUAGGUAUCCAUGAUCAACCAUUUAAUUGUCACGUUUCCCUCAACUUAAUUAGUAGAGACCUCUUUAGGGCUUAGAGGGGUGCUACCUCCUAGAGGUAUCUUCCUAGUAAGUAACCUAAUCCCCGGACCUAGACUCGGUUUUUUCAAAGAGAUGCUUUUUUCAAAAAUUAUGGAGUCACAUUUUAGGGUUUUUCUUUCUUGUUUUAUUUUCCCUUUAAAAUAAAAAUAAAAUAAUGGCGACUCCGACUUUUUCCAAAAUUAAUUUUUCACAAAUAGAAAAGCAAGUCUCUCCGAUCGAAUGAGGGCGCAUGUGAAAAAUGCGGGUCCAUAGAUAGGCCUCUCAUUUCUAAUGUAUGCAAGUUUUAACUGUAUACCAUGGUAAAUUAGAUGAGAAACUAUAGUAAAUUGGAUGAAAGAUUAACCCGACGUGAUUUCUUUGUCAAUUUGGAAGGAUGGUGUAAUUUUAGGAAAUGACAAGCUUGCACAUAAUUAUAAUUAUAUUUUGAUGAACGAGACAAUUGUUUAAUGUUCUAUCUUGGUGUUUGGCAUUCAACAAAUUAUGUUCAUAUUUAAUUAAAAAGUUUAAUGUAACCUUGUAAAUGCAUAGUUUAUACUCACAUUGUUUAGAUCAUAUCUGGAAAGUUGAAAAAAAAAAUGGGACUCCAUUACAUAUCUCAUUAAUAAAUAUGUAUGAAUUACUUAUUAAAAAUAGAAAUAGGUCAUCCAUGCCAUGAGAAGUCAUGCCUCCAAAAGCAAAAAGCAAAAAACAAGUUCUUACAAUUCAACUUUUUUGGCAUCCAUGAUGAGUUUAUCAACCUAACUAUUACCCACCAACUAAUAAUAAUUGUAGCAUUAAUGCGAGUCAACUAACAAUCCUUCUUCCAUUUACCUCUAUCUUGGAAUUUGAUCUAUUAAAUUUUCUUCCUUUUACCUCUAUCUUGGUAUUUGACAUGUUAAAAUUGGACCUUCACUCCAUGUUAUAUACGAGCAUAGUUUUUAAGUAGAAAUAGGUAUAGUUGCUAUGCUACUAAAUUUUAUAUUUGGAAAUUGGAAAUAUUAAAAAUGUUUUAAUUGAAAAUAAAUAUAAUUUUAAUAUUUUCAAAUAUUUUAAUGAAAUAAAAUUAAUUUGGUGUCCCAUUUUUUUUUUUCAGGAUCAAUAAAGUGUGAACCCCAUAUUUAAGAAUCCUACGUAACUAUGUUUAGAAUUUGUAAAUGACAUAUAAACAUUCAUUGACCUAAAAACUCUCCUUGAGAGGUUUAAUUAAUAUAUACUGGAAAUUUCCACCCAAAAAACAUAGCACAAUACCUUGUUUGAGGUAAAUUUAGUGGAAUGCAUUAUGGGAAUUGCUCAAUAGUUAAAAAUGAGGGUGUGCUUGUUAAACUCAAAAGAUUAAAUACGUGGUCAACGUGAGAACUGAUACCAAUUUUUCAGACGAUACAACAACCCAACUGUCAAUUCAUAAAUUUUAUAUAAAUGAGGAGACAUACUGCUCCUUGGACCAAGGUAGAUUUUGUUUUUGAGUCUACGUUAUUUUCUCCAAAAAAAAUAUUAUAACUAUAAAAUUGUUUUCUAUUUUUUAUUGUUAAAAACAAAAAAACAUAUAUUUUCAGAUAAUAUCUUUUAAUAAUUUUUCAUUAUUUUUGCAUAUUUUUUUAAUGUAGUUUUGAAAAAUAAUUAUACAAACAUGGAAAAUAAUUAAAAAUAAAAUACUAGAUAUACAAAUUAUUUUAAAAAUAGGUUAAAUAUAAUUCAGGUUCCUAAAGAGAAUUUUGUUUUAUAAAACACUAUAAAAUAGUUUUUAAAAACUAUUUUUUACAAUUGUUUUAAAAAACAAUUACCAAUUACCAAAUAGGGCCCUAAAAAUAGAGAUGUGUCAAUAUUAACUAACAAGCUAGAAAGAGAGAUGUGUUAAUAUUAUAAUUAACCAUUAUAGGCAAACAUUGAAGUCAUUCUAUCAUAUCCAAAAUUGGCACCAUAAUUUUCCAUUUUCAACUUAUUUUCUUUUUACCGAUGUAACUAUGUGGAAAUUUCUUGUUUUAUUAAUUCAAUAUGCAUGAGAUAUUUCAAUGGUCCAUCCGUCUAAUUAAUGGUUGGAAACCGAUAGAAAUAUGAAACAACUUUUUCAUAUUGUUAAGAAUCUUUUAAAAUGUCUUUCUUUUGUCACUUCAAAUGAUUGGGUUCAUUAAUCUUAACCAUUCAUUCAAUGCUUGAGUUUGCAUCCACUGCUCACAUCCCUAUCCACCAUUAUACAUAUUGAUAUAUUUAUUAUUUUUGUUUUUAUUUCUAAGAUUAACAACUUUGGAACAUAAAAUGAUUAGGGAGUAGAGCAUGAAUGCAAGAACAACUUUUGAACUUAAACAUUAAGAUUGAAAUGGUCUAAAUCAGAUCAAGUGAUUUACUUGUGUGUUGGGUGUAUCCCAGAAGCCCACAUCAAAUGGAAAAUCACCCUCACCUCCCUGGAUUUGUUCAAUCAUACCAUCCAUGGGUCCCUUUUUCUGUGUUGCAGUUUCUUCUGUCCUGAGGCUUGCGAUAAGCAUCUCUCCAGAAGCCGAAAAGUCAGUUUCUUGAUCCAUUUGAGCAUGCUCAGCUAACAGGCUUUCCCACCAUAUGAUGUCAUCAUUCGGUUGUGGUGAAGUGGAUGAUGGCUUCCUGGAAGUACUGACUUGUGUGUCAAAAGUAUCCACAGCUGUAGUUUUUAGUUCAAACCUUGGCAAGGCUUUGGAGAACUUGUGAGGGUGAGGCUUUAUAGCUUUGGUUUUAGAAUGUGUUUGGGGUUUAUCUCUCCCUUCUUCCUGGAACUGAACCUCCUUUUUGAAGUGGUGACUAUGCCAAUAGUUCUUGACAUCAUUAGCAGUCCUCCCUGGAAGCCUACCCGCAAUCAAGGACCA